rnacentral:lncRNA from 1 species
UAAUGUGGUGGCUUCUCUCCCUUAGGUGGCUUGCCAACUGGGGUUGGUGGCUUGUGUUCAGGAAGUGGUUUCUCUCCCAUGGGAGGUUUAGCAAUUGGGGUUGGUGGCUUGUGUUCUGGGAGUGGCUUCUCUCCCUUGGGAGGUUUAGUAGGUGACUUGUGUUCUGGAGGUGGCUUCUCCACCGGAGGCUUGUGCUCCGGUGGUGGCUUCUUGGUUGGAGGGGGCUUGGGGUAAUCAGCAAGAGAUGGGGUGGUGAGAACCACCAGUCCAAGGAACAACACUAGCAAGUAUGUGGGAGACAUUUUUGAGUUUGGGCUGAUCAGAUGAUGCAAAACUAAAGCAUUACGUGACCUUUUAUAGCAUGUAGCUCCCAAUACCCACUAAGUAUUGUGGGGUCCAUUUGUGCCCUACGGGGUUGAAAACUUAGACAAUUGGGCAAGGACCCACCUGACUAUGGAGGACUAGUGAGGUGUGAUCAUAGCUUUAGGAUUUUUCUUCCUCUGCAGCCGUCGUGCCGUUGGCAUGAUUUUCUUAAUCUUAAAUAAAGGCAUAGUUAUAGAGUUGUUUAAUCUCUAAAUGGGAUUUUAUAUAUAUCUUCAGAUAGCCAUUAAUAUAUUUGAUGAAGAAAGAAAGACAAGUGCAUACAACAUGUAUACGACUAGCUUUCAUGGAGUUCAUUUAUGAUCAGUUUUCCUGUACAUGUAAACCAGGAUCAUAUAUAUGUUUCUGUUCCACAACUAUUUUGGAAUCUUGUUUAUCAGUUUUUAUCAUUAUAAUGUCACAUAGGCUGCCAACUUGGGCGCUAAAAGAACCAGUUGGGCUAGUUCGUUUCAGAAUUUCAAUGUGGAUUCAGGAAUUGUUUUGUAAGAUAUGCGAAAUAGUAGAGGGAUGAAUAGUGUUUCAUUAAUAAAAGUGUCCUGUAAAUUAGAAGGUGUCAUAGAAACUAUAAUCAAUAAAUAACUUUUUUUCCCCACGGGUGGUGUUUCUUGUGGGGAUCAGUGACUGGUUUAGGUUCACCCAAAAUGAGUUCAGACUAAAAUUGGUUUGAGUCAAUGCCGUGUCUCUUUUUUCCAGAAAUCAACUAUUUUAUGCAUUGAAUAAAUCAUACAAAGAAAAUAUGAACGCCCGCAAAACCUAAACCCUGGUUGCUAACUUUCUAUGUUUCAGUUCUAUUCACGCAAGAAUAUUAGUUUAAGUUUGGGAAAAAUGGCAACUUACCUAGUGAUUACUUGGUUUUGGUUUGCGACUAUUUACGCAACCAACCAUGAGUUUGACUUUAACGUCAUGGGUUGAAGCCUCCUACAGGAAGGGAGAAAGCUCCACAGCUAGCUCCAAAAGAGAAUUAUCACAUUGAUAGCUCCAGAGAUUCCCAAGGGGACUGAAUCAAAGACAAGUUCCUCACUUUUUCUUCUUUUGAGGCCAAAUAUGAACCAAGGAUCACACAACCUCAUUCAACUUCAUAAGUUUGAUUUCAUGCAGUUGAACACUGGGUGAAGGCCAUGACAAGAAUUGAUUCAAAAAUUCUAUCACUCUUUUAAGUAAUGGAAGAUUAUUAUCUCUGAUUGGCAUCACAACAGCACAUGCUCCUAGAUCUUUCUAGACACUCCAUGCAAUGAAAGCACAAUGGAUCUUGUAACGAUAGAAACUAAGCCAUGCUACAGUACUAGAUGAUGAGGUAAAACUAGUAGACACGGGUGGCAGCCUAUAUGGGAGGGACACAAGUCUAAUUGAUUUGCAUUUCAGCAUUAUAGAUAGGUAUGUUUUGGAAGAUUUGUUCUGGAAAUACCGCACCAAGUAGGAUUCUUUUUCUCUUUAGUGGGUCCACUUGCAUGCCAAUUAACGAGUUGAAAAGUAUGAGCACCUACCUCGUGCUCGUGGAACCGAAGGUCAGUGAAGUGGGGCUCCUUUUGGCCUCGUGUAAACUUGAUUCAGAAGUGAAGUUAAUAGUCUUCCAUUCAGAUGGAUACAUGGGAAUUUUUCUCUUUUAUUUAUUUAUUUAUUUUUUUUUUGUGUGUGUAUGUCAAAGGAUAAUGAAUGAAGCGCGUUAGCUUGUUUUCUGACUGGAACCGCAGAUGUCCAAAUUGGAGUUCCUUCAUUUCUUACUUAGGAUUGUUACAUGUAUAAACAAGGUAUAAGAAAUAUGCCAACGUGUCUUGAGGAGUUAUUGAUUAGAAAUAACAAGUCACCCGACUGUAGAGUUCCAAGAUUUGAAUCUUCAGACCCUAUAGCAGCCUCUGGGGUACGUGGCAUCCUAUAGCAUAUUAAUGAAGGCUUUUUCGAUUUAGACUUCACAAUACCAAUUAAUAUGUAUGCACAAAAUGGAGAUGACCCCAAAAAAAACAGAAUCGCCAUAGUUUAUGAGGUUAAGGUGAUUCUCCACUUAAUAUCUACAUUAGCUAAUUAUGUAAAUCAAAUGAACUUCUAUUUUUCCUUUUUUUUUUUGGUUUAUGUCAAAUAGUAGCCCAUAAUUAACCCAACCAUUAGCCUGUUUGAAUUGAUUUCACAUGCACAAUGUUGUAGUAGUUCAUAUUUUGAAUUUUAUUUUUACAAAGGUAGUUAAGGAAAAUGAAGUAUAAUAAUUAUAAAAGCAGACUAUAUACACUACAAUAAUUGUUAGAAUGGUAUCUCAAAUUCUAAUUUAAAAUAUUAUUUUUUGUAAAAGAAAUAUUAUAUAGAAUAUUUCCUAAUUUUAUAAAUGAUUAUAAUUAGAUCUUUAUAAAAUAAGGAAAGUUGGUAAGAAUAUCUUUAUAAAUAUUUUAGGUCAUGAGAGAAAGAAAUGGGAUAAAAAUGUGAUGAAGAGGUGAAAUAAGAGAGUUGAUUAGGAUAUAGAUGUGAAGAAGAAAGGGAUUCAAUAUAUAUAUAUCUUUCAAUUACCACAUUAAAACCCUGUGAACCUUUUAUAUGGUUUACUUUAUUUUUAUAUUCCUCCUUUAAUAUAUUUACAUUAAUGCUUCCAUUGGCACAACAAUAACGAAUUACAAAUACAAGCAACAAGUCCCAUGUUUUAUUACCAAAAGCAGGUAAAAUCCACCUAAUAUAUUACAAUAUAUUCAUCCAAUAUUUUAGACCAAUUCUUCACCAUAAAUAUCAUAAUGUGGCUUUUGUUCUUUCUUAAAUUUAAAUUGAAUUGUCUUAUAUCAAUUUGUUUGUGAUUUUUUCAUUAACUUCACUUUCAUUUGGUUAUCUUUGGUUUUUGAAAAGUAUUAAGGAAUUAAUUAACAAAAUAAUGUUAAGAAAAAUAAUUUUCUCUCUUUUGAUUUUGAUUUUGUAGUAGAAAAAUAUAAUUAAAAUUAUUUAAAAAGUAUGUAAUUUUAAAUUAUUUAAUAUUUAGAUAAAAAAAAUAAGUCUAAUGAGUUUAAAAUAACAUAUAAAAAUAAUUUAUUUAUUUUAAAUUUAUUUUUUAUUUUCCAUUAUGUUCUCUUUCUCUUUUACUUUUUCAUAUUUUUUCUUACGAAGAAUCAAACACAACCUCAUAUUAUAUGUCAAGUGUUUGUCUAUAUUUGAGCAAUGUUAGAUACGGCCAUGGAUUCAUCAAACUAAACUGAUUUUAAUAGAUACUUCACAAAUUGAUUUAUACACUAAAUCAUUGGAUAGCAAUGAUGCAUUGGAAUUAAACGUAGGAUGAAGCUCGAAGAACACUGUUUGUGUAACAACAUAUUUAUGAAAUUAUGCAAAGGAUGAGCUUCGGGGUAGUAGUACAAGGUCAUUAAUGGAGAGCCGUGUUAAACCUUGAUUGUGAUUGGAUUCCGUUAUCAGCAACAGCAACCUUGUUUGUAACCUUGAAAGUCAUUCUGUCCACAUCGAAACUCCAAUUUGACGUUUGUAAUUACCAUUCCUGGAGUGUUCCUUGAUUGAAAUUUAAAUAAUAAUUGCGGCCCACAAGGAAUAUUUUCGAUUCUGUGGGAAUUUGACAAGGUUUGUUAGAGAAGACUGGUGACAUGUUGACUUCAAUGGUUCAAAUAGGAGACGUAUGUGGAUUUGGGGGGUUUAAUUGAAACUGAGUCCCUAUGGCUUUUUAAUAUUUGCAUUGAGCAGUCUCCAUGUGACUUCCUAAUUCCCACCAACCCUCCUGUCCAUGCUGUGAAACUAAAUUGUAAUUUAUCAGCCUUUGUCAAUGGUUUCUAAAUUAAAGAUAUAGACCAUGCAUGUACUUUAAUAAAAGCAAAUCUAAAGUGUAGAUAGCAGCAAUGGUGACACCCAAUAUUCUCCAUAAAAUAGAAUUAGAAUAAGCAGUGUUACAUUGUUCAUGAUCACCUACAAGCAUACAAGAACUUCCAUGAAUAACUCAUAGCAAUUGCCAACAGGGCGUCGUAGAGACUCAUACAUAGAACACUAUCCACCCAGAGGAAAGGACAAGACCAGUGCGCUGCAGCUCUUAUUUUUCACAUGUAUACCACCACUCGUAAUAACCAAAUUCACUCAGUUGGGAUAGGUGGGAGAUGGUGGUUUGUGGGGUGGCUUGUGGGGAGGAGUUGGAGGAGGCUUUAUUUUCUGAGGCGGCUUGUAUGAGUGUGCAGGAGGAUGCCCGGGAGUGUGACCAUAAUGUGGUGGCUUCUCUCCCGUAGGUGGUUUGCCAAAUGGGCUUGGUGGCUUCUCUCCCUUAGGAGGUUUACCAAUUGGGGUUGGUGGCUUGUGUUCUGGGAGUGGUUUCUCUCCCUUGGUAGGUUUGCCAAUUGGGGUUGGCGGCUUAUGUUCUGGGAGUGGCUUCUCUCCCUUGGGAGGUUUGCUAAUUGGGGUUGGCGGCUUAUGUUCUGGGGGCGGCUUCUCUCCCUUGGGAGGUUUGCCAAUUGGAGUUGGCGGCUUAUGUUCUGGGAGUGGCUUUUCUCCCUUGGGAGGCUUGCCAAUUGGGGUUGGCGGCUUAUGUUCUGGGGGUGGCUUCUCUCCUUUAGGAGGUUUGCCAAUUGGAGUCGGCGGCUUAUGUUCUGGAAGUGGCUUUUUUCCCUUGGGAGGUUUGCCAAUUGGGGUUGGCGGCUUAUGUUCUGGGGGUGGCUUCUCUCCCUUGGGAGGUUUGCCAAUUGGAGUCGGCGGCUUAUGUUCUGGGAGUGGCUUCUCUCCCUUGGGAGGUUUUGUUGGUGGCUUGUGUUCUGGAGAUGGCUUCUCCCCUGGAGGCUUGUGCUCCGGAGGUGGCUUCUGAAAUGGCGGGGGCUUGGGGUAAUGAGCAAGAGAUGGAGUACUGGUGAGAACCACCAUUCCAAGCAACAAUACUAGCAAGCAUGUGGGAGACAUCUUUGAGUAGUUGUAGCUAAGAUGGCGCAACACUGUAGGCAUUGGGUGGCCUUUUAUAAAGGGCUGGACCCAACAGCCAUAUGACACGUGUCAUGAUGACAAAUGAAGUUGAGGGGAUCCAGAUGGGUCCUACUGAGUCGAAAACUUGCACUAAUUGAUCUGGUGAGAUGACUAUUUCUGUCCUUUUGCCCUUCUCGGCCACCCUGUGCUGUUUUCCUUUUGCACGAUUUUCGUUGCCAAACAAGCAAAUAAUAUUUCGCCAAGAAAGAGGAGAGUGAAUGUGGAAUGCAUCAAGUCCCAUCAAGGAUGGCAGAGAAGAAAUAGAAGAUUGCCCAACUGUGAUAAACAUAGCAUACACGUAGCACCAGGAACUUCAUUUACUUCCAUCUAAUGGAACAUAACAAUCUUCUAAAGUUUUUGCAUGAUUUUGUUAUAUGUCUCUUAGCCUAAAGUUGGAAAUGCGCAACAAAUUUUGUCACUUCUCUAUUUCCCACUGAUGAUGUUAAUUAGCCUUCAUAGAUAUCAUCCUUUCUACAAAGUGCUUCAUUUGUGUGUUAUUGUAAAGUGUAAGAAAAGUAAUUGAACAUGUUCUUUUUCCUUUCAUAGAUGACUUUUGAUGUGCAUUUUAAAAGCAGCGCUGUGAGUCGGUGACCUUGAUUCACACGGAAACUAAGGCUCCUAUAGGACCCACUUUUAGCUGGUUAGGGGUGAAGAAAAUAUCAACUUUUCAGAGUGAUUUAAGUCAAGGCCAAGCCUCACUGUGUCAUUACUCGUGUGAAUUUUAUAUGCACAUACAUACAUAAAUAAAGUAUGAGACCCAAAUAACACCUUCCCUUUACAAACUUAACCCCAGCCGCUCUCUUUCAAUUCUUUUCACACAAGGGUAUUGACUCUAUAAAGGUCAAGAAAAUCAUAAUUUCCUAGGGUUUACAAGGUAAUUGGCUUAAUGCUAAUGUGAAAACAUAAAAGAUAAUAGUAUAUUGUAAGCUAACGAAUAUUCUAUAGUUAUAAUUAUUUGUGAUGUGCAUAAAUAAAUCUUCAUAUAUAUAAUGGAACAAUGAAUAAAGAACCAAUGAAAAAAUACUAUAUAUCAUUGCUUGGCAUUUAAACCGUAUAUGCUGCUCUUUCUAGCUACUCCAUCCACUGAAAGACAACAAGGUAAUCCAUGUUAUAAUGAUAGAAGAUACUGUCUCUAGGCUUUUUGUGAUGAAAAAUAUAAGAUAUGGGUAGGGUUGACCCUUGUAUGUUUGUCCUAUAAACACUUCAAAGUAACAUAUUUUUCUUCUUUAGCAACUCAUAAUGAUGGGGUUCAUUUGCAUGUCACUGAGUUGAAAAGUUGGACAAUUGCCCAUGUCGCCUUCCUCCUAGAUUCCGUAGUUCACGGGAAGGUAACUCAAGUUUGACAUAUUUUGAAUUCUUUUCACUCGGACGUCUUCAUAACCUGACAAAACAAAAAUGAAAAACAGAGGAUUGGUAUAUUAUUCAUGGUAAGCCUCAAAUUAUAGUAGUAUGAGAAAGGAGAAAAAGAUUUUGGGAACUCCAAUCUGGAUAAUUCUCGUUUCUUCUCUUGAAUAAAAAUUUCACUUACCUAACUUCGUUUGGAGAAAUGGCAUAUUUUAAUUUUGUACGUCAUUGCUAAUAAAUGGAGCAAUUUAGCAUGUUUUGUGACUGAAACUGCAAAUGUCCAAUUGGCAUUUCUUCAUUUCCCACUUAGGAUCUGAUCUUGUAGACCAUAUAACGAUAUGUAUCUGUGCAAGCAUUGAAAACUAAUGUGAACUAUGAGGAGUUACAAGCCACUGGACUGUAGAGCGAGUGCCAAGAUUUAAAUCUUCAGGCUCUAUCUGGGUAAGGGGAGGAUAGCGACCUAACCUUUUACCAAAGGCUUAGAAUUUAGACUUUUGGAAAAAAAUUUCUCAUGUUUUGGCUGGAUUUCUUGUGCUUGGCGCAAAAAGGAGAUGGCCUCAAGAAAUAGCAGACUCACUUUUGUUUUCAGCCCUUAAUAAUUCUCCACUGCUUUCCAUAACUACAUGGGUUAUACAUGCAGUCUGCUGCAAUAUUCCAGUUAUAUUUAUUAUUUCAAAGAGGGUGAAUGACUUCACAUGCAAUAUGUUGCAGUAACAACCCAAAUUUUGGCACACCAUCUUAAGAAUAGAAAAGUAUAAUAAAAGAAAUCAAUCAGAGAAUCACUUUGCAUGCAGUUCAUAGAGUUCGCCCAAAAUGGAGCCACAUGUACGGACAACCCCACAAUAGACAAUCUUCUCUAUACAGUAAUAAAAUACAGAAAUGGUUAAUGAAGCUCUGUAUUUCCUUAUCAUAUAUGACCGGUUGAAAACUCAGCAAGUCUUCCUCAAUCACAGACAGUUGGAGUUGCUUCAUCAAAAUCAUGCCUUCAUUACUGGCUUCAUUUUGGUUUCAAUGUCUGUUCUACCCUUAAAUUGGGUCUCUGCUUACUACCGGGAUAUCCUUUAGCGUCCUGCAAUUCUACUAGAUUAAAGAGAAUGACUUAAUUCUGCAUUCUGCCGUCCCUAGUCCAAGUGGUACUAGAAUUGAUGUUUCCUUUAGUGUCCUUUCUUCAUACUUUCAGGUUCUUCCCUUGUUUCAAUAAUGCUGUUUUCCUUCAUGUUUAACCUCUGUUGAACCACUUAAAACAACACAAUUUGCACACCAAUGUUUCUUUACAGAAAAGACUGUUUGCAAAAAUGCACAUGUUAUAAGGUUAAUGGAAGAAUUAAUUUGGGGAUAAGGGACUAGGAUUGGGCCAAUGAAGUUUGGUGUUAAAUUUUGAUUAUGAUUGCUUUUCAUUAUCAGGUACCUUAUAUUUGCUGAUGCUAUCUGGAACUAAAUUCAAAUCAGACAUUAUCCGAUUACUAACAGGACAUAUCAUGUCCCUCUGCAGAGUUUCUAAACUAACAUGUAUCGAAAUGUGGCCCCAAAAGGAAGGCUAGGAAGAUGGAGGAUUUUGUAGGAAUCGACCAGAAUCAGAUGGAAGAGAGAUAGUCCUGUUGACUUUAAUGGUUGUGAUAGGAACAUGCAUCAUUAUAUGAGAAGUUGCAUGAAUUUAUGUAUCCUGUUAUCGUUCCUUGACGAUUUCCCAAUGCAAUUUCACUGUCCACAAGACUAACCUCUCCAUGCAGUCAAAUGAAUUGUAAUUUCUCUAUUGGUACCAGUAGUACAUUUCAUACCAAACAUAUAGUAAAUAUAAAAUAUAAAUAGAUCAAGGAAAUCUGAAUUGUAGAUAGCACUGCAAGUAACACUCAAUAUUCUCUAUAUAUAAUAAAAUAAACAGUGUCACAAUACUCAUCACCCAGUGGCAAGGGAGAAAAACCUACAAUGAGUACUCAAAUCACCAUUCUCAAACAGAAACAUAGCAGUGACUGAUACAUAGAACCUAUAUGCUCACAGGGAAAGAAUAAGAUGACCAGUGCACAGCGGGCAGCAGCUCUUAUUUUACGUACAACUCAAAUCCCAAACUAACCAAAGUCGCUCAGUUGGGAUGGGUGGGAGAUGGUGGUUUGUGGGAUGGCUUCUGGGUAGGAGCUGGUGGCUUCUGUCCCUUUGGUGGUUUGCCUAAUGAGCUUGGUGGCUUGUGCUCCGGGAGUUGUUUCUCUCCCUCGAGUAGGUUUCGAGUCUUGUCAGAUGGCUUGUGUUCUGGUGGUGGCUUCUCUCCCUGGGGUGGUUUGCCGAAUGGGCUUGGUGGCUUGUGUUCGGGGAGUGGCUUCUCUCCCUGGAGAAGGUUACGAGUUUUGUCAUAUGGCUUUUGUUCUGGUGGUGGCUUCUCUCCCUGGGGUGGUUUGCCGAAUGGGCUUGGUGGCUUGUGUUCGGGGAGUGGCUUCUCUCCCUGGAGAAGGUUACGAGUUUUGUCAGAUGGCUUGUGUUCUGGUGGUGGCUUCUCUCCCUGGGGUGGUUUGCCGAAUGGGCUUGGUGGCUUGUGUUCGGGGAGUGGCUUCUCUCCCUGGAGAAGGUUACGAGUUUUGUCAGAUGGCUUUUGUUCUGGUGGCGGCUUCUCUCCCUGGGGUGGUUUGCCAAAUGGGCUUGGUGGCUUGUGUUCGGGAACUGGCUUCUCUCCCUUGGGAGGUUCAGUUGGUGGCUGCUGUUCCGUAGGUGGUUUCUUCACCGGCGGCUUGUGCUCCGGAAGCGGCUUCUCUACCUGGAGAAGCUUACGAGUUUUGUCCGAUGGCUUGUGUUGUGGUGGUGGCUUCUCUCCCUGGGGUGGUUUGCCAAAUGGAGUUGGUGGCUUGUGUUCGGGGAGUGGCUUCUCUCCAUUGGGAGGUUUAGUUGGUGAUUGGUGUUCCGUAGGUGGUUUCUGAAGUGGGGGAUGCUUGGGGUAGUCAGCAAGAGACGAGGUAGUGAGAACCACCAGUCCCAGCAGCAACACUAGCAAGCAUGUGGAAGACAUCUUUGAGUUCAGGCUGAGAUCUGUGCAAGGAUAACAGAAUUAGGUGGCCUUUUAUAGAGGCCUGGACCCAACACCCAUAUGACACGUGUCAUGCACUCAUGGUGACACAUAAUUCUAUGGGACCAUUUGGGUCCUACAGAAGUUGCAAAGUUGGACUACUGAGGUGUGAUCACAACUUUUGUCCUUAUUGCUUUCUCUGCGGCCAUUGCACGAUUUCCUUUAGCAUCAUUUUCUUGGCUAAAUAAGCGUAUUAUAUUUGUGGCAGACCGUCCACGUGUCAUAAACAGAUAUAUUAUAAUAAUGUAGUAUGCUUUUCUCCAAUGGAACAUGACACUCUUCUAAGUCUUGUUUUAAAUAUUGUGCAGGAUUACUUUAUACGUUGCAGUUCCAAGUCAAAAUUGGUGGGCAAACGUUGGCCUUUUUUCAUUUCACCUAAGAUUAAUGCUCACCUGGGAUAGGCACUACAUGACUUAUCUGCUCUUUUACUGUAAAGUUGCUUUGUGUAUGAGAUACACCUCCCCUGCACACCCUCAACAUUCGUUGCUCUGUUUUCCUUGUGUCCAGACGAGGAUAUUAAUUGGAGGCUGACAAAACGACUGCUAGCCCAGGAUUUACAAGGUCCUGGUUUGAGGCUUCGGUGAAAGUAUUUUUGAAAAGACACACAUAGAGAUAGUGCGUUUGGUGCAAUGCAGCACUGUGAGCCAUUCUGACGCGUUCUUAAUUUCAAAACUAAUGAAUGCUUCAAAAUUUUAAGAAGUGACAUUUCCAAAUAUUUGAGUUCGUUUAAUUGAACAUUGGAUAACUAGUGAUCAUAGAUUAUUAUCUGUGCUUGGCACUAUAAGAGGGUAUAUGCUUCUUUUUCUGGCCCCUCCUUCAAGGGAGGAGGGACAAUGUGAUCUGUAACGUUAGAAGCUAUUCCAUGUCAUCUUUGGGCUCAGUUCAAAACUAAAAGAUAAUGGGGGGGGGGGGGGGGGGCAUAUCAUUUUAUAUUUCUUCUAGAAGGUUUGUUCUGGAAAUAUUUCACAGGAGCAUAUCUUUUUCUUCUAUUACGUCAUCCGCAGCCUCCAAUAGGUCGGUUAACAAGCCACCGAGUUGAAAAGUUGGAAAAAUGGGAACACAGCCCGCCUCUUGUAUUCAGUAGUUAAAUAAAAGGUCACUAGAAGUGAGAUCCCUUUUGGCGUCUUGAUUUUCAAUCCAGCACCUCUGUGACCUGACAAACCAAAAAAACUAAAAAAUAAAAAACAGUACGUGGGUUGGUGUUAAGCAUCAAGACAUGUUAAUGAAAGAAGGUAGAGAAUAGGAUAUUGAAAUCCCAAUCCUGAUAACAUGAUUUUCUUUGCUAACAACCAUAUUAUAUUUUAUCAAGAAAGAGUAAUGCAUGUGGCGUCCAUCAAGACCCAUUAGAGUUCCGCUAAAGCUAUAGUUCUGUCAACGUUAUCAUUUACGUUUCCUCUAGAUAAUGGCAUUUUCCUCUAAAGCUCUUGCACCAUUAGGCUUCAAGUCAAAAUUUCACAUGUGAACUUUGGAAAUUUUCUCCAUUUGCCCCUAAGGAUACAGUUAGAAUUGACUUAAAAUCCUGAUUGAUAUGUACUAUUAACCAAAGAAUAUUGUAUAUAAUAAUUGAAAUAUUGUUGAUUCAUCGUGGAAAUACAUUUUGUAAGGAAAGUUGUUGAGAAUUUAGUAUGCUAUAUGGAGAAAAAAGUCAUGACUUAAGGUUGUGUAUGUAUAUUCUAUAUCAAAUAUUAGGUAGGAAUGUGGGAAAGAGCAGAGUGUAAUGAUAAGAAACAAAGAAAUAUAAGAUAUUCUUGAAAGUGGAAAAUAUAAAAUGGCUAACGAGUCAAAUUUAUGAUGCGUAAGGGGGAUCAUGUCACAUAAGAAAACCAUGGCAUACUAAAGACGUACGUGUGGUAUGGAGUAAUAAUUUUGUUAAAAUAAGUUUCUUGUUGGAGUACAUUAGGUGACUAUUCAUAACGUAUCAAAUUAAAGAGUCAAGUGCAUCAAUGAAGGCAUAUGUAGAAAAUUUGUUUGUGACAUGUACCAUAAAGAUAAGAUUGACUUGAUAGAAUUUAGUCUAAGUAGGAGUUGUUAAAGGUGUCUUAAAUUUCUAAUUGAUGUAUAUUUUUUUCUAAAAAAAUAUUAUAUAGAUAUUUUAAUAAAUGAUUAAUUCUUUGUAAAAAUACUUACAUAAUAAAAAACAUCAUUAAAAAUAUCUUUAUAAAUAUUUUAAGUUACAAGAAGGAAAAAAACCACUGUGAGAUAAUGAUGAACAUGCAACACUGUACCAAGUAAAUAAAAAUGUGAUAAAAAAAAAAGAGAAACACUCGAUAAAGGAAGGCUCGUAUAUAAAGAGUAAUAUUUUUAAUCAUAUGAUAGAAUGAUUUUCUCUCAUUCAUGAAUAUAGGCAAGAUUGGGGAACCAUUAUAAAAUUUUGUACACCUCGUGUAAAUUGAUGUUUGUCUUCAUAUUUUACACCAACAAAUGACAUUGAAGUUGUCAUUGAUAAAAGGGAAAAGGCAUGCCUCCACACCAUGUGCUUGAUUCGAAUGGUUCAAGUUUGAAGAAUUUUCUCCGGAAGAUCUAAAACAUUUUCGCCUUUAAAUUUCAUUUGAUUAUUAAUAUCCGAAAAAAUAGUUAAAUACUCUUUCUAUUUUUGAGUUGUUGAAUUUUUUGAAAGUUUUUAUAUUUGUUAUCAAGAAUUUCUAUUUUAUUAAGGGUGAAUAUUUAUAAAUAAGAUAUUAUAUAAUAUUUGGAUAAGAGAGAAUGGUGGAAUAUAAUAAAGUUUUAAUCCUUCCCAAUUUUGAACCUUUUUUUUUUUUUUUGAUAUAAUCGCCUUUCUCUUGCAAUCCUAUUAUCAGGUACCUUAUAUUUGCUGAUGCUAUCUGGAACUAAAUUCCAAUCAGGCAUUGUCCAAUUACUAAUAGGACAGAUCAUAUCUCUCUGUUUCUAAACUAACAUGUAUCGUAAUGUGACCUCAUAAGGAAGGCUAGGAAGAUGGAGGAUUUUGUGGGAAGCGACCAGAAUCAGAUGGAAGAGAGAUAGCCCUGUUGACCUAAUGGCUGUAAUAGGAGAAGCGUGUGGUUUUAUGGGACUUAACUGAUACUAAACCUGUAUGAUGCUUGGAGUGGUGUUUCUUUCAUUUUGUUAAGAAAAUAUGGCAGCAUACAUGCUUUCAACUGAGUGCAUCAGAGCAUCCAUAACAGAUGGUCUGCAACCCUAGGUGCAUGCCACUUUCUGACUGAUAAUGAAAUUGUCAGGUACCUGGCCUUGACUAAGCUCAACAGCAUCACAUAAAGAGAAGCUUUCAUACUUAGAUUACUGUUUAAAGUUUUUGCUUAUUUGAUUUCUUAAUGCCAUUAUGACAUUAUUGAUUCAAUUCUGCUUCCGAUUUUCGAAGUUCUGGGCAUCUACUGAUUGCAUCAUUAUAUGAGAAGUUGCAUGAGUUUAUGUAUCCUGUUAUUGUUCCUUUGCGAUUUCACUGCUCACGGGACUAACCUCUCCAUUCAGUCGAAAUGAAUUGUAAUUUCUUUACUGGUAGCAGUAGUACUUUUCAUAGCAAAGAUAAUAGAAAAUAUGAAAUAUAAAUAGAAGGAAAUCUGGAUUGUAGAUAGCACCAUAAGUAACACUCAAUAUUCACUACAUAAUAAAUAGACAGUGUUACAUAGGUAGAGAAACCUACAAUGAGUACUCAUCACCAUUCUCAAACAGAAACAUAGCAGCGACUUAUACAUAGAACCUAUAGGCUCGCAGGGAAAGAGUAACAUGAUAAGUUCACAGCGGGUAGCAGCUCUUAUUUUACGUAUUACUCAAAAUCUCAAACUAACCAAAGUCACUCAGUUGGGAUGGGUAGGAGAUGGUGGUUUGUGGGGUGGCUUCUGGGUAGGAGCUGGUGGCUUCUUUGUUGGAGUUGAAGGAGGCAUAUUCUUCUGAGGUGGCUUGUAUGACUCUUCGGCACUCUCUGCAGGAGGGUGCCCAGGGUUGUGACCAGAAGGAGGUGGCUUCUGUCCCUUUGGUGGUUUGCCUAAUGGGCUUGGUGGCUUGUGCUCCGGGAGUUGUUUCUCUCCCUCGAGUAGGUUUCGAGUUUUGUCAGAUGGCUUGUGUUCUGGUGGUGGCUUCUCUCCCUGGGGUGGUUUGCCGAAUGGGCUUGGUGGCUUGUGUUCGGGGAGUGGCUUCUCUCCCUGGAGAAGGUUACGAGUUUUGUCAGAUGGCUUUUGUUCUGGUGGCGGCUUCUCUCCCUGGGGUGGUUUGCCAAAUGGGCUUGGUGGCUUGUGUUCGGGAACUGGCUUCUCUCCCUUGGGAGGUUCAUUUGGUGGCUGGUGUUCCGUAGGUGGUUCCUUCACCGGCGGCUUGUGCUCCGGAAGCGGCUUCUCUACCUGGAGAAGCUUACGAGUUUUGUCAGAUGGCUUGUGUUGUGGUGGUGGCUUCUCUCCCGGGGGUGGUUUGCCAAAUGGACUUGGUGGCUUGUGUUCGGGGAGUGGCUUCUCUCCAUGGGGAGGUUUAGUUGGUGGUUGGUGUUGCGUAGGUGGUUUCUGAAGUGGGGGAUGCUUGGGGUAGUCAGCAAUAGACGAGGUAGUGAGAACCACCAGUCCCAACAGCAACACUAGCAAGGAUGUUGAAGACAUCUUUGAGUUCAGGCUGAGAUCUGUGCAAGGAUAAAAGAUUUAGGUGGCCUUUUAUAGAGGGCUGGACCCAACACCCAUAUGACACGUGUCAUGCACUCAUGGUGACACAUAAUUCUAUGGGACCAUUUGGGUCCUACAGAAGUUGCAAAGUUGGACUAUUGAGGUGUGAUCACAACUUUUGUCCUACUUGCUUUCUCUGCGGCCAUUGCACGAUUUCCUUUAGCAUCAUUUUCUUGUCUAAAUAAGCGUAUUAUAUUUGUGGCAGACCGUCCACGUGUCAUAAACAGAUAUAUUAUAAUAAUGUAGUAUGCUUUUCUUCAACGGAACUUGACACUCUUCUAAGUCUUGUUUUAAAUACUGUGCAGGAUUACGUCAUAAGUUGCUUGUUCCAAGUCAAAAUUGGUGGGCAAACGUUGGCCUUUUUUCAUUUUCCCUAAUAUUAAUGCUCACCUGGGAUAGGCACUACAUGAUUUAUCUGCUCUUUUACUGUGAAGUUGCUUUGUGCAUGAGUUACACCUCCCCUGCACACCCUCAACAUUUGUUGCUCUGUUUUUCUUGUGUCCAGACGAGGAUAUUAAUUGGAGGCUGACAAAACGACUGCUAGCCAAGGAUUUACAAGGUCCUGGUUUGAGGCUUUCACGAAAGUAUUUUUGAAAAGAUACACAUAGAGAUUGCGCGUUCGGUGCAAUGCAACAAUGUGAGCCAUUCUGAAGUCUUAAAUUUCAGAUUAAUGAAUGCUACAAAAUUCUAAGAAGGGCCGUUUCCAAAUAUUUGAGUUCAUUCAUCCGAACAUCGGGUAUAUGCUUCUUUCUCUAGCCCCUCCUUGAAGGGAGGAGGGACAAUGUGAUCUGUAUCGUUAGAAGCUAUUCCAUGUCGUCAUCUUUGGGCUCAGUUCAAUACUAAAAGAUAUGGGCGGGGCCCUUAUCAUUUUAUAUUUCUUCUAGAAGGUUUAUUCUGGAAAUCUUUCACAGAAACAUAUCUUUUUCUUCUCUACGUGAUCCGUGGUUUGAAAGUUGGAAAAAUGGGUCCGUUAACAAGCCACCGAGUUGAAAAGUUGGAAAAAUGGCAACACCGCCAACCUCUUGUAUUCGAUAGUUAAAUAAAAGGUCACUGGAAGUGAGAUCCCUUUUGGCCUCUUGAUUUUCAUUCCAGCAUCUCUAUGGCCUGAUAAAUUAAAAAACUAAAAAAAAAGACAGUACGUGGGUUGGUGUUAAGCAUCAAGAGUCAAGACAUGAUAAUGGAGAGAAAGGAUAUUCAAAUUCCAGUUCUGACAACAUGAUUUUCUUUGCUGAACUACCAUAUUAUAUUUGAUCAAGAAAGAGUAGUGCAUGUGGCCAGGAUCAAGACAUACAUUAAUUUCCACAUGAUGAAGACAGUUUCUGAGAGUUUCUUCUAAAGCUCUUGCGCGAGUAGGCUUCAAGUCAAAAUCUCCCAUGUAAACACUGGUUUUUCUUUCAUUGCCACUAAGGAUGCAGUUAAUAUUGACUUAAGAUCCUACGUGAUAUAUUUUUUUAAAAGAGCUAUAUUGUAGAUAAUAUUUGAAAUAAUGUUGAUUCGUUGUGGAAAUAUAUUUGUAAGGAAAGUUGUUGACAAUUUAAUAUAGUAUAAGAAGAAAAAAGUUAUCAACUAGCUAGAGAUGAGUAUGUAAAGUGAGGCUCACGAUUCAACGCGUAAAUAUAAGAUAUUUUAAGGCUCAAUAGUUAUGAUAUCUAUUUUAUUUUUUGUAUCUCAUAUAUUCAAAGAUAUAGUAAAAUGAUUUUACAUAUAUAUAUAUAUAUAUAUAUGAACAUAACUAUUUGUGCCAAUUGAUUUUUAUCUUUAUUUUGUAUAUUAGUAAUUAUAUUAAAGUUUUUACUAAUAUAAUAACUAAUAUAAAAGCUUUUUCUAAAAGAGUCAACAGAGCAAAACACUUAUUAUAAAAAAUAAUUUUGAUUGAAGGUGGAGUCAAUUAUUCUUUAUUUAACAUGUAAUGCAUACGGCGUGUACUUCAUAACUAAAGUAUAUAAGUGUAACAUCUCUUAUAUAUUCUCAUUCAAUCUCGAAAGUGGAAAUUUUAAAAAGAUUAAACGGUUCAAAUUUGUCGUGCAUAAAGGGGAUCAUGUCACAUAAGCAAACCAUGGCAUACCAAAGACAUAGGUAUGGACUAAGAAUUUUUUUCAAAUAAGUUUCUUAUUAGGGUACAUUAAUAGGUGACUUUUUAUGACAUAUCAAAGGAGUCAAGUGCACCAAUAAAAACAUAUAUAGAAAAUUCAUGCAUGACAUGUAUCACUAAGAGAAGAUUGACUUGAUAGAGUUUAAUCCAAAUAGGAGAUUGUUAAAAGGUGUCUCAAAUUCUUGAUUGAUAUAUAUUUUUUUUAUUAAAAAGGUUAUUAUAUAGAUAUUUCAAUAGACUAUUAAUUCUUUGUAAAAAUAGUUAUAUAAUGAGGAUGGUGAUUAAAAAUAUCUCUAUCAAUAUUUUGGAUUAUAAAAAGAAAAAAAAUGAGAUAAUGAUAAACAUAUAAAACUUGUACAAGUAGAUAAAGAUGUGAUGAAAGACACUUGAUGAAUGAAGGCUUUGUAUUUCAAGAUAUAAAUAUAUGGAGCAAAACUCUUAAUUAUAUGAUCAAAUGAUUCUCUCAUAUUCAUGAAUAUAAGCAGGAUUGGGGAACCAUGAUAGAAUCUUAUAUGCCUCUCCAUGUAGAGUGAUCGAUGUUUAUCUUCAUAUUUUACACCAGUGAAUGACAUUGAAACUCUUAUUGAUAAAAGGGAAAAGGCAUGGCCUCCACCCCAAGAAAAACAAGUAACCUCGGUUUAAAUCACUAGUCUACACCCCGAAGAGAGAACUAGCCAAACCUACUAAAAGAGAAACUUAACAAUUUAGAAAGAAACCGUCCAUGAUAAAGGGCCCCUAAAGGUCCAAUUCAGUGAGGUCGUGAACAAAAACACUUUCAUGUCAAAACAGAGAUAGGUACCACCAAAAUGUAAAGGGAAAGAUGUAAACCACGUCGAACUUUGGUAAUCAAUGGUAAAGAUAGCAUGAUAGCUAAAAGCACUAAAGCUGUGCUUGGUAUGCAAAAAUGAAAAGUGGAAAUCAGCGUCUUAUUCUUUUUCACCUUUAUUCACAUAUUAGGAUAACUAAUAUCUAAUGUUUUUUAUGUCUCAAAUUCUAUUCCAUGUUAUGGUAAACUUUCAUCUUGUUUAGAUCACUUUUGUCUGGUUUGGGCUCAAGACGAUAAGCCUAUAGAGACUUCAUAUUGGGUUGAAUCGAUGCCCUUGAUCUGAUCUGUUCGUUAGAAAAAUCUGAAUUAUUAUAAGCAUUUAGAUAAAAAAUAAAUAAAUGUGAAACACAAACUACUCCCUGCACAACCUUGACCCUAGUUACUCAGUUUCACUGCUCACAGGACUAACCUCUCCAUUCAGUCGAAAUGAAUUGUAACAAGAAGAUUUUUGACAGGAGGACGGUAGUUUAAAAUAAUAAUUUCUAAAGUACUUUUGUGAAAAAAAAUAAUUCCAAACGUGGAUUUUAUCAAGUAAAAAGAAAAAAAAAAGUUAUUUUCUUUUAAAAUCUGUUCUUCUAAAGAUGAUAUAUAUACCAAAAAAAAAAAUUGUUUUCUGAAGGUAAAAUUUUUAAAAUUCAUUUUUAAAAAAAUUUACACACUAAAAUUAUCUUUUCAAGAGAAGAUUUUUUUAAUUUUAAAUAAUUAUUAAUUUAUAAUUAAUUUGUUAUUAAUUAUUUAUUAAUUUUUUUAUUUGAAAAAUGCAUUUAUAAAAAACAAAUUUGUUAUUAAUUUAUUAAAUAAUUUUUACAAAAUAAAUAAUUUUUUUUUAUUUUAAUUUUAAAAUUAAUUUUAUUAUAUAAAUUUUAAAAUUAAAAAUAUUAAUAUUUAAUUUAAAAUUUAACUAUAAAAGGAAUAAAAUAUAGAAAAAUAAAUUAAUUUAUUAUUCAAUAAAUUAAUUUUCAAUAAAAUUUUCAGCAUUAAGAGAUAAAUUUUUAAGUAUUAAUCAAUUUAAAAAGAAAUAAUGAUCAUUUGUAUAUUAAGAUAUUUUAUUUAGUAAUUAUGAAUGAUAAACAACUAAAGUAAUUUGAAAAAAUAAUAAAAUAUUUAAAAAAUAAUAAUUUAAUACACGUAAAAUUAGAAAUGAUUAACUAUUUUUUAUUAAGAAAAAAUUGAGGAAAUAUUUUGUUAUUUAAAAUUUUUUAUUUGUUUUCAAUUUUUAAUGUUAUAGGUUUCAAGAAAAUUGAUCAAAUAAAAAUUAAGAAGUCAUUUUUUCAAAAACUAUAUAUCUAAAUAAAAGCCUUGAAAUUCAAAUACACAAUAUCAUAAAUAUAAACACCAAGUCAAUCCUUAAUUAUCAAAUGUUUUUAAUAUUAAAGAAUCAAAAUCACCUACUAUCAUGAUAAUAAGAAAACCAAUAAUAUUGUUCAUAUAAAUACUAAAAAGCUAACAAAUAUCCCAAACAAUUAAUAAAGUAUCAAACAUGAUAAAAAGUCAAUUAUUAUCAUGAAUGCAAAAAAUCAAUAAUUUUGUUUAUAUGAACCAUCAACAAAGAAAAAAAAAAUCAAUAUCUAAAUAUUAAACAUAAUUUAUAUUUUUAUAAAUAUUAUUGUUGAUAAAUAUCUUAACAAUUAUAAUUUUAGUAAAUAAAAUUAAUUAAUUUUAGUUUAAGAAUUAUUUUUUUAUACUUUCGUAUUCUUAUCAAAAAUCCCCAUUUUGCAUGUCUCCUUUGGCAUGACUUUCUUACCUAAACAAGCAUAUAUAUAUAUAUAUAUAUAUAAAAUAUUUGGUUAAGAAAGAGUACUAAAGUUUAUAUGGCACACAUCAAGAUAGAAACAGAAGUGGAAGAUAAUCCAAAUGUAUGAACAGAUAUAUUAUAUCCAUGUAGUGGUAGUGACUUCAUUAUUUACUUUUAUCUAAUGGAGCAUGACACACUUCUUCUGAAUAUUUUGCACGAUUAUGUUAUGUGUCAGCUUGUUCUAAGUCAAAACUAGUGAUAAAAAUCGGUUUUUUUUGCAUUUCCUUCAUGAAGAUGGCACCUGGAUGGGGCACUACAUGAGUGGCAUAGCACGAAGUGAUUUAUCUGCUCCCUUUACUAUAAAGUGCUUUGUGUAUAAGUUACACCUCCCCUGCACUGCCUCAACAUUUGUUGUUCUGUCUUCCGUCUGUCCAAACGAGGACAAACGUAUGUUGUAGGUUGACAAAACCACAGCUAGCCUAGGAUUUGCAAGGAUCUAGUUUGAUUCGUAUGCAAAAGGAUUGGUGAAAAGAUUCACAAAGAUAAUGCUUUUUGCAAUGCAAUCUUGUUCUAAUUCAACAGUGUGGACCAUUUUCAUGUAAUGCUUCAACUAGAUGUCAGUUUCAUGAAUUUUUGUUCAUCUAAUUGAUCACUGGAUAGGCCAUAACCCGAAGAAAUUCAAAAUUCCCUUCAGUACUGUAGCUAAGGAAAGAUCCCUAUCUACCACUGGGAUUUUAAGAGGGUAAAAAUGUAGGUGGGUGCCUAUAUCAUUUGCACUUCACUAUAGGCCUCUUUGGGAAGAUUUCUUCUGAAGACAUUUCAAAGAAACAUAUUUUUCUCUUCUCUCCGUAAACGGCAGCUGCAAGUCAGUCCAUUCACAGGCCACCGAGUUGAAAAGGCUGGAAAAUUGGCCAAAGCACCCGCCUCCUGGAUUCCAUGGGUAAGGAAAAGGUCACUGGAGGUGUGAUCCCUGUUGGCCUCUUGAUUUCCAUUCCGCCAUCUAUAUGACCUGAUAACCCAAAAACACAGAAGGAAAACGUCACCUGGGUUCAUAGUAAGCAUCAAGUCAUGAUAGAGACCAGACAACAUGACCAACAAAGAGUAGCGAAUGGGGCCAACAUCAAGCCCCAUUACGGUUAGAAGAUGGAAGAAGUAGAAGACAAUCCAAUUCUGAUAGAUUCGGGCAAAUGUAGUGCUGUUCAAACUUAAUCAUUUACUAUUUCUUCAUGAAUCACGGCAUUUUUCUUCUGAAAAUUUUCCAAGAUUAGGCCUCUGAAGAAAAAUUUCAUAUGUAAAUUGGUAUAUUAAGGAAAAGGCGUUACAAAGGUGAAAAAAAACCAAUCAAAUCUUAUAUAUGACAUCUCAAAAAUAUGAACUUGCUAUAAAUAUUUAAAAUCAAAAUCUUGCACAUCACCUCGUAGUACGAACUUGCUAUAAAACUUGAAAAUCAAGAAGAAAGGGGCAGUAUUGGACGAGACUACUUAGCACAUAUUAUUAUGAUGUUUUUUCAUUUUCUUAAUGUUGUUUUUAUGUCUUAAAUUCUAUUAUUCUAUGUUACGGUAAACAUUCAUCUUGUUUGUGUGGAAUAGGAUCACUUUUCUCUGGGUUGAGUCGAUGCCCUUAGUUAAUUUGUUCAUUUGAAUAAACUAAAUUAUUAUAAGUAUUUAGAUAAGAAAAACGUGAUACAUAAAUUACGCCUCUCGGCACAACUUCAACACUGGUUACUCUGUUUCAGUUUCCUCACACAAGAUUAUUGGUUCUAGGGUUUAUUUGGUUUUGGUUUGAUUCUAAUUGCUAAACUUUCUCAAGGAAGAUGUUAUAUAGGGAGUGAGAAACCUUCACUCUUGGCUACCUCCAAGAGAAGAGCAAGUGGUCUGAAUCAAAGAUAUACUGCUCACUUUUUCUUCUUCUAAGGACAGCUAUGACCUUGCUUUAAGGUUCGAAUAGCCUAAUGCAACCUCCCAUUUCUCAAGUCAGCUGAUGAUGUAAGUCACCUUGGCUUUCCACAUUCAUACGGUGAGGACGUUUGUGGGUGUAAUUCUCUUAACAGUUUUCAUUUUAUAUGGAAAAAUUCAUAAUUAAGGGUAAUUACUGAUUCCAUUUGACAGUGACCAAGUUUAAAAUAUUAAUUCAUAUAUUAAAUGCACAUUAAAAAAUCAUGGAAUAAAUAUAUUUACUAAUAUAUAGUUCUUUUGCCAUGUUCUGUCACAGAAGCAUCGAACUUUCCCUAGAAAUUUUUGCAUGGUAUUCUACUUAUGAUUUUGAAAACUCUAGGCACCUGAGGCCACUAAUUGCAUGGUUGGAUGAGGAGCUGCAUGAGAUUAUGUAUCGUGUUGUUCCUUAACUACAAAUAUCAGUUUUAAGUAGCAUCUCCAUGUGACAUUUUCCUGAUGCAAUUUCGCUGUCCACCAACAAAUUUCACCAUGCAGCAAGAUGAAUUGUAAUUUCUUUAUUGUUAUCAACAGCUUUAAUUAAUCUUGAUAUAUAUAUAUAACUUAGUAGAAGUAUAUUAAUCUAGAUUGUAGUUGCACUAAGAUAAUAGGCAAUAUUAUAACAGUGCCACAAUGCUCAUCGCCAAAUAGAAAGGUAGAAAAACUACAAUGAGUAACUCACAACAUUCUCAAACAGGACAUAGCGGCGACUGAUACAUAGAACACUAUUGGCACUCAGGAAAUGAUAAGAUCAGUGCCCAGCAGGCAGCACGUCUUAUUUUACAUACUACUUAAAACUAACCAAAGUCAUUCAGUUGGGAUGGGUGGGAGAUGGUGGUUUGUGCGGUGGCUUUUGGGUAGUUGGUGGCUUCUUUCCUGGAACUGAUGGUUUUUUUGUUGGAGUUGAAGGAGGCUUAAUCGUCUGAGGUGGCUUGUAUGAGUCUUCAGCACUCUCUGCGGGAGGGUGCCCAGGGUUGUGACCAUAAUGGGGUGGCUUCUCUCCCUUAGUUGGUUUGCCAAGUGGGCUGGCUGGCUUGUGCUCCGGGAGCGGCUUCUCUCCCUUAGGUGGUUUGCCAAAUGGGCUUGCUGGCUUGUGCUCUGGGAGCGGCUUCUCUCCCUCAAGAAGUUUACGGGUUUUGUCAGAUGGCUUGUGUUCUGGUGGUGGCUUCUCUCCUUGGGGUGGUUUGCCAAAUGGACUUGGUGGCUUGUGUUCGGGGAGUGGCUCCUCUCCCUUGGGAGGUUUAGUUGGUGGCUGGUGUUCCAUAGGUGGUUUCUCAACCGGGGGCUUGUUCUCCGUUGGUGGUUUAUGAACUGGGGGAUGCUUGGGGUAGUCAGCAAGAGACGGGGUGGUGAGAACCACCAGUCCCAGCAGCAACACUAGCAAGUAUGUGGAAGAGUACAUCUUUGAGUUCAGGCUGAGAUUUGUGCGAGACUUGAAGAAUUAGGUGGCCUUUUAUAGCUGGCUGCACCCAACACUCACAUGACACGUAUCAUGGUGACACAUGUGCUAUGGGUCCAUUUGGGUCCUACAGAAGCUGAAAACUUUUGACUAUUGAGGUGUGGUCACAACUUUUGUCCCUAUUGCUUUCUCCGCAACCGUUUUACAUGUUUCCUUUGGCAUAAUUUUCUAAGCUAAACAAGCAUAUAUCAUAUUUGGUUAAGAAAGAGUAAAGUGUAUAUGGCACACAUCAAGGAAGAGAAACAGAAAAAGUGGGAGACAAUCAAUUGUGAUAAACAGAUAUAUUAUAUUCAUGUAGUACUAGUGACUUUAUCAUUUACUUUUAUCCAAUAGAUCAUCACUCUUUCUUCUAAAUAUUUUGGAGGAUAAUGGUACAUGUUGCUUGUUUCCAAGUCAAAAUUGGUGGCAAAAAUCGGCAUGAUACGAAAGGAUUGGUGAAAAGAUUCACAUAGAUGGUGCUUUGUGCAAUGCAGUCUUGCUCUAAUUCAACAGAGUGGACCAUGGUGAUGUAUUUUAAAUUUUAAAUUUUAAAUUAAUGCAUGCUUCAAAGUUUUAACUAGAUGUCACUUCCAUGGAUUUUUGUUCAUUUAAUUGAGCACAGGAUAGGCUAUCAAACUUGAAGUAAUAUAAAAAUCCCUUCAUUACUGUAACUAAUGAAAGAUCAUUAUCUGCGCUUGGUAUUUUGCCAAGGUAUUUGCUGCUCUUUCUAGCCCUGUCUUACAGUUAAGGACAAUGUGAUCUAGUUAACCUUAGAAGCUAUUCCAUGUCAGAUACAAGAGAUCAAGCACAUUAUCUUUGGGCUCAGUUCAAAACUAUAAUAUAUGGGUGGGGUGGAGGCCCAUAUCAUUUGCAUAUCACCACUAUUGGUUUAGUUUGGAAGGUUUCUUCUGGAAGAUUGCUGCUUUCUGGAAUCAUUUCAAAGAAAUAUAUCUUUUUGUUCUCUUGGUGACGAGCAGCGGCAAUCAAGUCUGUUGACAAACAACCGAGUUGAAAAGUUUGAAAAUUGGUCACAGCCCACGUCCAUGGUUAAGGAAAAGGUCACUGGAAGUGAUCCCUUCUGGGCCUCUUGAUUUCCAUUCUGACAUCUAUAUGACCUGAUAAAUAGAAAGAAAAAAAAACAGAAGAAAAGCGGCACCCGGGUUCAUAGUAAGCAUCAAGACAGGAUACUGAAAGAAGGGAGAAAGGAGAUUGCAAGUCCAAUCCUGAUAAAAUGAUCAACAAAGAGUAUCAAAAUGGGGCCAACAUAAAGACCCAUUGAGGUUAGCAGAUGGCAUGGCAUUUUUCUCCUUAAGUUUUCCAUGAUUAGACUUGAAGUCAAAAUUUCACAUGUAAAUUUGUAUUUCUACAUUUCCCACUGACGACACCCAACUUCAACUUGAGUUAGAAUAACAUUGUGUGAACUUAUCUGGCCCUCAAAAUUUACUGUGAAGUGCUUUCUGCGUGUGAAGAUUCAGAAAAGCACCAAGGGAACAUGUAUGGUCUGCCUUUUUCUGAUGUUAUGUUUGUCUCUAAUUCUGUUCCAUGUCAUGGUAAAUGUUCACAUUGCUUGUAUGGAACACACCAGGAUCACUUUUUCGGGUUUAUUUUGAGGCUUCAUAUUGGGUUCAUAUUGGGUUCAAUGCUUUUAAUGUGUUCAUUAGACAAAUCUGAAUUAUCAUAUGCAUUUAGAUAAGAACAAUAAUGUGAAACCCUAGUUACACCUCCCCUGCAUAACCCCAACCCUGCUUACUCUAUUUCAGUUUACUCACACAAGUUUUACCGGUUCUUAUAAGUCAAGAAAAGGCAACUGAUGUUGGAUUGACUCUCUUCCAUGUAUAAAAAGCAACUUUUAUAUAUACAUAAAAUAACUUCUUCCCCUCACCAAUGUGGGAUAUCAUGGAUUUAUUCUGGAAACACAUCAAAGGAACAUCUUUUCUCUUGGGUGACCCUAAGUGGUGAGUCAGACCAUUUGCAUGCCAUUGAGUUGCACAGUUGGAUAAAUGCACCUACCUCCUGGGCUCCAGAGUUAAAAGGGUGGAUCCCUGGAUCGCAACCCUCUUGGCAUCUUGGUUUCCAUUCCAACAUCCACAUGACUUGACAAAACAAAAAACAGAAUAAAAUCAUCACUAUUUUCAUGCUAAGCACCAAUACAUGAUGGAAAUCAUUGCUUAAAGAUUUGGGGUCAUUUAGGUUUUGACUGCCUCCUAACACCUCACCUAAUCACAAGUUUUUAUGCUUACAAAUCAAAUAUCGUUCUUCAUUAUAUUAAAAUCAUUUUAAGAUUUCAGAUCCAUCUGCUAAUUAUGAUUAUGAUAACAUUAAUUCACCUGUGCUUCUCAUUUUCGACACACAAGGCAUCUAGGUUUGCAGGAUUUCCUUAUUAGAUGAGAUAAAUGAGUACGCAUGGUUAUGUAUGCAGCAUUCAUUAACCAUGGUAUGUGACAUUUAGAAUUAAGAUAGCAAGCAAACUUUCCCUGCAGCUUGAGUAAAUUGUGAUUUCUUAGCCUCUAUGAGUGGUUCCCAAAUCAAAUUAACAUAGUGAAAUAUACGUAGUCCAGUGAAAGGAAAUGUAAAUUAUAAACUAACAGCACUACACUACUGGUAACACUCGAUACUCUCUAUAUAAUGCAAUGAAAUAUACGUUAUACGUUGCUUGUUCCAAGUCAAAAUUUGUGGCCAAACGUUGGCCUUUUUUCAUUUUCCCUAAGAUUAAUGCUCACCUGGGAUAGGCACUACAUGAUUUAUCUGCUCUUUUACUGUAAAGUUGCUUUGUGUAUGAGUUACACCUCCCCUGCACACCCUCAACAUUUGUUGCUCUGUUUUCCUUGUGUCCAGACGAGGAUAUUAAGUGGGGGCUGACAAAACGACUGCUAGCCAAGGAUUUACAAGGUCCUGGUUUGACGCUUCCGCGAAAGUAUUUUUGAAAAUAUACACAUAGAGAUUGCGCGUUCGGUGCAAUGCAACAAUGUGAGCCAUUCUGAAGUUUUUAAUUUCAGAUUAAUGAAUGCUACAAAAUUCUAAGAAGGGCCGUUUCCAAAUAUUUGAGUUCAUUUAUCCGAACAUCGGAUAAGUAAUGAUCAUAGAUUAUUAUUAUUAUCUGACGUUCUUAUAAUGGUUGGCAUUAUAAGAGGGUAUAUGCUUCUUUCUCUAGCCCCUCCUUCAAGGGAGGGACAAUGUGAUCUGUAUCGUUAGAAGCUAUUCCAUGUCGUCAUCUUUUGGCUUAAGUCAAUACUAAAAUAUAUGGGCGGGGCCCCUGUCAUUUUAUAUUUCUUCUAGAAGGUUUGUUCUGGAAAUCUUUCACCGAAACAUAUCUUUUUCUUCUCUACGUGAUCCGUGGUUGGAAAGUUAGAAAAAUGGGUCCGUUCACAAGCCACCGAGUUGAAAAGUUGGAAAAAUGGCAACACCGCCAACCUCUUGUAUUCGAUAGUUAAAUAAAAGGUCACUGGAAGUGAGAUCCCUUUUGGCCUCUUGAUUUUCAUCCCAGCAUCUCUAUGUCCUGAUAAACUAAAAAACUAAAAAAAAAACAGUACGUGGGUUGGUGUUAAGCAUCAAGAGUCAAGACAUGAUAAUGGAGAGAAAGGAUAUUCAAAUUCCAGUUCUGACAACAUGAUUUUCUUUCCUGAACAACCAUGUUAUAUUUGAUCAAGAAAGAGUAGUGCAUGUGGCCAGGAUCAAGACAUACAUUAAUUUCCACAUGAUGAAGACAGUUUCUGAGAGUUUCUUCUAAAGCUCUUGCGCUAGUAGGCUUCAAGUCAAAAUUUCCCAUGUAAACACUGGAUUUUCUUUAAUUGCCACUAAGGAUACAGUUAAAAUUGACUUAAAAUCCUACGUGAUAUAUAUCUUUAACAAAAGUAUAUUGUAUAUAAUAUUUGAAAUAAUGUUGAUUCGUUGUGGAAAUAUGUUUGUAAGGAAAGUUGUUGACAAUUUAAUAUAGUAUAAGAAGAAAAAAGUUAUCAACUAGAGAUGAGUAUGUAAAGUGAGGCUCACGAUUCAACGCGUAAAUAUAAGAUAUUUUAAGGCUCAAUAGUUAUGAUAUCUAUUUUAUUUUUUGUAUCCCAUAUAUUCAAAGAUACAGUAAAAUGAUUUUAUAUAUAUGAACAUAGCCGAUAGUAUCAUGUUAAAACCUUAUAUGACUCUUUGUGCCAAUUGAUUUUUAUCUUUAUUUUGUGUAUUAGUAAUUAGUAUUAAAGUUUUUACUAACAUAAUAAUUGAUAUAAAAGCUUUUUCCAAAAGAGUCAAACAGAGCAAAACACUUAUUAUAAAAAGAAUUUUGAUUGAAGGUGGAGUCAAUUAUUCUUUAUUCAACAUGUGAUGCAUACAGCGGGUACUUCAUAACUAAAGUAUAUAAGUGCAACAUCUCUUAUACAUUCUCAUUCAAUCUCGAAAGUGGAAAAUUUUAAAAGAUUAAAUGGUUCAAAUUUUCCGUGCAUAAAGGGGAUCAUGUCACAUAACCAAACCAUGGCAUACCAAAGCCAUGAUAUGGACUAAGAAUUUUGUUAAAAUAAGUUUCUUAUUAGGGCACAUUAUGUGACUAUUUAUGACAUAUCAAAGGAGUCAAGUGCAUCAAUAAAGACAUAGAAAAUUCAUGCAUCACAUGUACCACUAAGAGAAAAUUGACUUGAUAGAGUUUAGUCCAAAUAGGAGAUUGUUAAAAGGUGCAUCAAAUUCUUGAUUGAUAUAUAUUUUUUUUAUUAGAAAGGUUAUUAUAUAGAUAUUUCAAUAGACUAUUAAUCCUUUGUAAAAAUAGUUAUAUAAUGAGGAUGGUGAUUAAAAAUAUCUCUAUCAAUAUUUUGGAUUAUAAAAAGAAAAAAAAUAUGAGAAAAUGAUAAACAUAUAAAACUUGUACAAGUAGAUAGAGAUGUGAUGAAAGACACUUGAUGAAUGGAGGCCUUGUAUUUCAAGAUGUAAAUAUAUGGAGCAAAACUCUUAAUUAUAUGAUCAAAUGAUUCUCUCAUAUUCAUGAACAUAAGCAGGAUUGGGGAACCAUGAUAGAAUCUUAUAUGCCUCUCCAUGUAGAUUGAUCGAUGUUUAUCUUCAUAUUUUACACCAAUGAAUGACAUUGAAACUCUGAUUGAUAAAAGGGAAAAAGCAUGGCCUCCACCACAAGAAAAACAAGUAACCUCGGUCUAAAUCACUAGUCUACACCCCGAAGAGAGAACUAGCCAAACCUACUAAAAGAGAAACUUACCAAUUUAGAAAGAAAUCUUCCAUGAUAAAGGGCCCCUAAAAGUCCAAUUCAGUCAGGUUGUGAACAAAAACACCUUCAUGUCAAAACAGGAAUAGGUACCACCAAAAUGUAAAGGGAAAGAUGUAAACCAAGUCGAACUUUGGUAAACAAUGGUAAAGAUAGCAUGAUAGCUAAAAGCACUAAAGCUGUGCUUGGUAUGCAAAAAUGAAAAGUGGAAAUCAGCGUCUUAUUCUUUUUCUCCUUUAUUCACAUAUUAGGAUAACUAAUAUCUAAUGUUUUUUUUAUGUCUCAAAUUCUAUUCCAUGUUAUGGUAAACUUUCAUCUUGUUUAAGUGGAAGAGUAGGAUCACUUUUGUCUGGUUUGGGCUCAAGACGAUAAGCCUAUAGAGACUUCAUAUUGGGUUGAAUUGAUGCCCUUGAUCCGAUCAGUUCGUUAGAAAAAUCUGAAUUAUUAUAAGCAUUUAGAUAAAAUAAAUAAAUAAAUGUGAAACAGAGACUAUUCUCUGCACAACCUUGACCCUAGUUACUCAGUUUCACUGCUCACGGGACUAACCUCUCCAUUCAGUCGAAAUGAAUUGUAAUUUCUUUACUGGUAGCAGUAGUACUUUUCAUAGCAAAGAUAAUAGUAAAUAUGAAAUAUAAAUAUAUAGAAGGAAAUCUGGAUUGUAGAUAGCACCAUAAGUAACACUCAAUAUUUACUACAUAAUAAAAGAGAUAGUGUUACAAAGGUAGAGAAACCUACAAUGAGUACUCAUCACCAUUCUCAAACAGAAACAUAGCAGUGACUUAUACAUAGAACCUAUAGGCUCGCAGGGAAAGAGUAACAUGAUAAGUGCACAGCGGGUAGCAGCUCUUAUUUUACGUAUUACUCAAAAUCUCAAACUAACCAAAGUCACUCAGUUGGGAUGGGUAGGAGAUGGUGGUUUGUGGGGUGGCUUCUGGGUAGGAGCUGGUGGCUUCUUUGUUGGAGUUGAAGGAGGCGUAAUCUUCUGAGGUGGCUUGUAUGAGUCUUUGGCACUCUCUGCAGGAGGGUGCCCAGGGUUGUGACCGGAAGGAGGUGGCUUCUGUCCCUUUGGUGGUUUGCCUAAUGGGCUUGGUGGCUUGUGCUCCGGGAGUUGUUUCUCUCCCUCGAGUAGGUUUCGAGUUUUGUCAGAUGGCUUGUGUUCUGGUGGUGGCUUCUCUCCCUGGGGUGGUUUGCCGAAUGGGCUUGGUGGCUUGUGUUCGGGGAGUGGCUUCUCUCCCUUGGCAGGUUCAGUUGGUGGCUGGUGCUCCGUAGGUGGUUUCUUCACCGCCGGCUUCUCUCCCUGGAGAAGGUUACGAGUUUUGUCAGAUGGCUUCUGUUCUGGUGGCGGCUUCUCUCCCUGGGGUGGUUUGCCAAAUGGGCUUGGUGGCUUGUGUUCGGGAACUGGCUUCUCUCCCUUGGCAGGUUCAGUUAGUGGCUGGUGUUCCGUAGGUGGUUUCUUCACCGGCGGCUUGUGCUCCGGAAGCGGCUUCUCUACCUGGAGAAGCUUACGAGUUUUGUCAGAUGGCUUGUGUUGUGGUGGUGGCUUCUCUCCCUGGGGUGGUUUGCCAAAUGGACUUGGUGGCUUGUGUUCGGGGAGUGGCUUCUCUCCAUUGGGAGGUUUAGUUGGUGGUUGGUGUUCCGUAGGUGGUUUCUGAAGUGGGGGAUGCUUGGGGUAGUCAGCAAGAGACGAGGUAGUGAGAACCACCAGUCCCAGCAGCAAUACUAGCAAGGAUGUGGAAGACAUCUUUGAGUUCAGGCUGAGAUUUGUGCAAGGCUAGAAGAAUUAGGUGGCCUUUUAUAGCGGGCUGGACCCAACAACCAAAUGACACGUAUCAUGAUACACAUAUGUGUUAUAAGAUCCUUGUGGGUCCUACAGAAGUUGAAAACUUUGACAAUUGAGGUGUGAUUACAACUUUUGUCCCUAUUGCUUUCUCGUCAGCCGUUUUGCAAGAUUUUUGACAGGAGGACGGUAGUUUAAAAUAAUAAUUUCUAAAGUACUUUUGUGAAAAAAAAUAAUUCCAAACGUGGAUUUUAUCAAGUAAAAAAAACAAAAAAAAGUUAUUUUCUUUUAAAAUCUUUUCUUCAUGAUUCAUAUACCAAAAAAAGAAUUGUUUUCUGUAGGUAAAAUUUUUAAAAUUCAUUUUUAAAAAAAAAAAAUUACACACUAAAAUUAUCUCUUCAAGAAAAUAUUUUUUAAAUUUUAAAUAAUUAUUAAUUUAUAAUUAAUUUUUUAUUAAUUAUUUAUUAAAUUUAUAUGUGAAAAAUGCAUUUAUAAAAAACAAAUUUUUUAUUAAUUUAUUAAAUAAUUAUUUACAAAAUAAAUAAUUUUGCUUUAUUUUAAUUUUAAAAUUAAUUUUAUUAUAUAAAUUUUAAAAUUAAAAAUAUUAAUAUUUAAUUUAAAAUUUAACUAUAAAAGGAAUAAAAUAUAGAAAAAUAAAUUAAUUUAUUAUUCAAUAAAUUAAUUUUCAAUAAAAUUUUCAGCAUUAAGAGAUAAAUUUUUAAGUAUUAAUCAAUUUAAAAAAUAAUAAUAAUCAUUUGUAUACUAAGAUAUUUUAUUUAGUAAUUAUGAAUGAUAAACAACUAAAGUAAUUUGAAAAAAUAAUAAAAUAUUUAAAAAUAAUAAUUUAAUACACUUAAAAUUAGAAAUGAUUAACUAUUUUUUAUUAAGAAAAAAUUGAAGAAAUAUUUUGUUAUUUAAAAUUUUUUAUUUGUUUUCAAUUUUAAAUGUUAUAGGUUUCAAGAAAAUUGAUCAAAUAAAAAUUAAGAAGUCAUUUUUUCAAAAACUAUAUAUCUAAAUAAAAGCCUUGAAAUUCAAAUACACAAUAUCAUAAAUAUAAACACCAAGUCAAUCCUUAAUUAUCAAAUGUUUUUAAUAUUAAAGAAUCAAAAUCACCUACUAUCAUGAUAAUAAGAAAACCAAUAAUAUUGUUCAUAUAAAUACUAAAAAGCUAACAAAUAUCCCAAACAAUUAAUAAAGUAUCAAACAUGAUAAAAAGUCAAUUAUUAUCAUGAAUGCAAAAAAUCAAUAAUUUUGUUUAUAUGAACCAUCAACAAAGAAAAAAAAAAUCAAUAUCUAAAUAUUAAACAUAAUUUAUAUUUUUAUAAAUAUUAUUGUUGAUAAAUAUCUUAAUAAUUAUAAUUUUUUAUAUAUUAAAUUUAGUAAAUAAAAUUAAUUAAUUUUAUAAUAUAAGAUAUAUAUAAUAAUUAAGAGACUAUUUGUCCCAAACAAUUUAUUUAUUUUUUUUUUAGGAAAUUGUCUCUUCAAGAGACGACUUCUCCCAACAUUUUUAAAAAAAAAAAAAAAAACAUCUAUUCAAAAGACGAUUUCUCCUCAUUUUUUAAAAAUGAAUUUUAGAAAUCAUAUUUUCAAAAAUGAAUUUUAGAAAUCAUAUUUUCAAAAGACGAUUUUUUUUUAUAUAAAUUAUUUUUUAAAAUGACGAUUUUAAAAGGAAAUAACGAUCUCUCUCCUACUUGGCAAAAACUAUGGUAAAUUUGGAAUUAUUUCUUCCACAACCAUAGUUUAAGAAUUAUUUUUUUAUACUUUCGUAGACUUAUCAAAAAUCCCUAUUUUGCAUGUCUCAUUUGGCAUGACUUUCUUACCUAAACAAGCAUAUAUAUAUAUAUAUAUAUAUAUAUCACUUUUGUCUGGGUUGAGUCAAUGCCCUUAACUAAUUUGUUCAUUUGAAUAGUCUAAAUUAUUAUAAGCUUUUAGUUAAGAAAAAUGUGAAACAUAAAUUACACCUCUCGGCACAACUUCGACACUGGUUACUCUGUUUCAGUUUAUUCACACAAGAUUAUUGGUUCUAGGGUUUAUUUGGUUUUGGUUUGAUUCUAAUUGCUAAACUUUCUCAAGGAAGAUGUUAUAUAGGGAGUGAGAAACCUUCACUCCUGGCUACCUCCAAGAGAAGAGCAAGUGGUCUGAAUCAAAGAUAUACUGCUCACUUUUUCUUCUUCUAAGGACAGCUAUGACCUUGCUUUAAAAUGUUCGAAUAGCCUAAUGCAACCUCCCAUUUCUCAAGUCAGCUGAUGAUGUAAGUCACCUUGGCUUUCCACAUUCAUACGGUGAGGACGUUUGUGGGUGUAAUUCUCUUAACAGUUUUCAUUUUAUAUGGAAAAAUUCAUAAUUAAGGGUAAUUACUGAUUCCAUUUGACAGUGACCAAGUUUAAAAUAUUAACUCAUGUAUUAAAUGCACAUUAAAAAAUCAUGGAAUAAAUAUAUUUACUAAUAUAUAGUUCUUUUGUCAUGUUCUGUCACAGAAGCAUCGAACUUUCCCUAGAAAUUUUUGCAUGGUAUUCUGCUUAUGAUUUUGAAAACUCUAGGCACCUAAGGCCACUGAUUGCAUGGUUGGAUGAGGAGCUGCAUGAGAUUAUGUAUCCUGUUGCUCCUUAACUACAAAUAUCAGUUUUAAGUAGCAUCUCCAUGUGACAUUUUCCUGAUGCAAUUUCGCUGUCCACCAACAAAUGUCUCCAUGCAGCUAGAUGAAUUGUAAUUUCUUUGUUGUUAUCAACAGCUUUAAUUAAUCUUGAUAUAUAUAUAACUUAGUAGAAGUAAUUAAUCUAGAUUGUAGUUGCACUAAGAUAAUAGGCAAUAUUAUAACAGUGCCACAAUGCUCAUCGCCAAAUAGAAAGGUAGAAAAACUACAAUGAGUAACUCACACAACAUUCUCAAACAGGACAUAGCGGCGACUGAUACAUAGAACACUAUUGGCACUCAGGAAAUGAUAAGAUCAGUGCCCAGCAGGCAGCACGUCUUAUUUUACAUACUACUUAAAACUAACCAAAGUCAUUCAGUUGGGAUGGGUGGGAGAUGGUGGUUUGUGCGGUGGCUUCUUUCCUGGAACUGGUGGUUUUUUUGUUGGAGUUGAAGGAGGCUUAAUCGUCUGAGGUGGCUUGUAUGAGUCUUCAGCACUCUCUGCAAGAGGGUGCCCAGGGUUGUGACCAUAAUGAGGUGGCUUCUCUCCCUUAGGUGGUUUGCCAAGUGGGCUGGCUGGCUUGUGCUCCGGGAGCGGCUUCUCUCCCUUAGGUGGUUUGCCAAAUGGGCUUGCUGGCUUGUGCUCUGGGAGCGGCUUCUCUCCCCCAAGAAGUUUGCGGGUUUUGUCAGAUGGCUUGUGUUCUGGUGGUGGCUUCUCUCCUUGGGGUGGUUUGCCAAAUGGACUUGGUGGCUUGUGUUCGGGGAGUGGCUCCUCUCCCUUGGGAGGUUUAGUUGGUGGCUGGUGUUCCGUAGGUGGUUUCUCAACCGGGGGCUGGUGCUCCGUAGGUGGUUUAUGAACUGGGGGAUGCUUGGGGUAGUCAGCAAGAGACGGGGUGGUGAGAACCACCAGUCCCAGCAGCAACACUAGCAAGUAUGUGGAUGACAUCUUUGAGUUCAGGCUGAGAUUUGUGCAAGACUAGAAGAAUUAGGUGGCCUUUUAUAGCUGGCUGCACCCAACACUCACAUGACACGUAUCACGGUGACACAUGUGCUAUGGGAUCCAUUUGGGUCCUACAGAAGUUGAAAACUUUUGACUAUUGAGGUGUGAUCACAACUUUUGUCCCUAUUGCUUUCUCCGCAACCGUUUUACAUGUUUCCUUUGUGGUGUUUAAUAGUGUUUUUUUCCUUAAUUCUAAAUAAACCUUAAUACUUAAUAAUGUUAAAUAUUAGGUUAUUUAUUUUUAUAAUAUUUUAUUUAUAUUAAGUAUUAAAAAGUAAAGAAAAAUCAAUAUAUUUAUUUUUCUAUUUAGAAAAAACUAUAUAUUUUUAAUUUUUUUAUUUAAUAAAAAAUUUAUAAUAAAUCAUGAAAAAAUAGAAAAACAAACAACCUAAAUUUUAAAAAUAAAUUGUUUUUAGUAAAAACCCAAAAAAACAAACACCACCUUAACUAAACAAAUAUAUAUUAUAUUUAGUUAAGAAAGAGUAAAGUGUAUAUGGCUCAAAUCAAGGAAGAGAAACAGAAUAAGUGGAAGACAAUCAAUUGUGAUAAACAGAUAUAUUACAUGCAUGUAGUACUAGUGACUUUAUCAUUUACUUUUAUACAAUAGAUCAUCACACUCUUUCUUCUAAAUAUUUUGGAGGAUAAUGGUACAUGUUGCUUGUUGCCAAGUCAAAAUUGGUGGCAAAAAUCGGCAUGAUACGAAAGGAUUGGUGAAAAGAUUCACAUAGAUGGUGCUUUGUGCAAUGCAGUCUUGCUCUAAUUCAACAGAGUGGACCAUGGUGAUGUAUUUUAAAUUUUAAAUUUUAAAUUAAUGCAUGCUUCAAAGUUUUAACUAGAUGUCACUUCCAUGGAUUUUUGUUCAUUUAAUUGAGAACAGGAUAGGCUAUCAAACUUGAAGUAAUAUAAAAAUCCCUUCAUUACUGUAACUAAUGAAAGAUCAUUAUCUGCGCUUGGUAUUUUGCCAAGGUAUUUGCUGCUCUUUCUAGCCCUAUCUUACAGUUAAGGACAAUGUGAUCUAGUUAACCUUAGAAGCUAUUCCAUGUCAUAUACAAGAGAUCAAGCACAUUAUCUUUGGGCUCAGUUCAAAACUAUAAUAUAUGGGUGGGGUGGGGGCCUAUACCAUUUGCAUAUCACCACUAUUGGUUUAGUUUGGAAGGUUUCUUCUGGAAGAUUGCUUUCUGGAAACAUUUCAAAGAAAUAUAUCUUUUUGUUCUCUUGGUGACGAGCAGCGGCAAUCAAGUCUGUUGACAAACAACCGAGUUGAAAAGUUUGAAAAUUGGUCACAGCCCACGUCCAUGGUUAAGGAAAAGGUCACUGGAAGUGAUCCCUUCUGGGCCUGUUGGAAGCAGGGGAGGUUAACACACCAAGCAACAAAGAACAGAGAUAUGCUGCUACUGAUCUAUAUUUUUUAUUUGAUCAUAAGGCUAAAUUUAUACAGAUUGUGUAACAGAUAUGACCUCAAAAAAAAGCAUCAAAUCAAGCUACUUGUUGAACAAACAACUACCUUCUACAAAAUAACAUCAAAAUUUAACUUAAAAGCAAAAACAUAAAAAUAGCAACAGCAAAAAUAGAAACAUAAAAAUAGCUUCAGCAUUCUAGUAAUCUCGUUGACUUCAAUUGCAUGUGGUUGACGAUUUCAGCCUUUUCCUCAGCAGCUACUAAGGCAUAACUCUCAACACUCCUCCUUGACUUAGGAGGUGCAAACUCCAAGUCUUUCUCAUAGAAACUCAAAUCUUAUUUUAGGAAGAGCUUUAGUCAGAAUAUCUACAUUUUGACUGUCUGUAUUGCAGUAGACUAGUUGUAUAUCUCCUUCUUUCUGUACUUCCCUCAAAAAUUACAAUUUAAUCUUGAAGUGCUUUGUUUUACCAUGAAAAACUGGAUCAUUUGCAAUAGAUAUAGUGGCCUGGUUGUCUACAAACACCUUUGUACUCACUUCUUGCUUCAUAUCCAAAUCUGUCAGCAACUUUCCAAGCCAUAAGGCUUGAUUUACAGCUGUAACAGCAGCAAUAUACUCUGCCUCAGCUGUGGAUUGAGCCACGACUUCUUGCUUCCUUGAACUCCAUGAAAAAACACCAGAACCAAAACUAAAACAAUAGCCUGAAGUACUUCUCAUAUCGUCAACACAACCAGCCCAAUCACUAUCAGAAAAUCCAUGAAAAUUGAAACUUUGAACUUGACUGAACUUAAUGCCAUAAUCCACAGUGCCUUUAACAUUUCUUAUCACACGCUUUGCUGCCUGGAAAUGAAUUUCACUAGCACAAUGCAUGUAUCUCGAAAGUAGACUUACAGCAUGCAUUAUAUCGAGUCUUGUUGCAGUCAAGUACAUUAAGCAUCCAAUCAUGCUUCGAUAAAGUCCUUCAUCUACCUUUUUAGCACCGUCCUCCUUACAGAACUUCUCUUUCUGGUUCAUAGGGGUAGAUGUAGGUUUGCAUUCCUCCAUUUUGAAUUUCUUCAUAAUUUCUUUGGCAUAUUUUUGUUGGCAGAUGAAAAUCUCAUUCUGCUUCUGGUGUACUUCCAUUCCCAAGAAGUAAGACAUCUCAUCUAGGUCUGUCAUCUCAAAAACCUGCUCCAUUUCAGCCUUGAAUUUGUUCACAAACCCUGCAUUACUUCCUGUUACAAGCAAAUCAUCAACAUAUAGAGAAACAAUUAAUAUAUCUUCUUCAAUCUUCUUAAUGUAGAGUGUAAAUUCACUCAAGCUCUUGUGAAAGCCUAAAGUUAGCAGGUGAGUGUCAAUCCUGCUGUACCAAGCUCUAGGGGCUUGUCUUAACCCAUACAAGGCCUUCUUAAGAAGGUAUACUUUUUCUUCUUUUCCUUUGAUAGCAAAACCUUCUGGUUGUUCGACAAAAAUCUCUUCCUCUAAGUAGCCAUUCAAAAAUGCUGACUUCACAUCUAGUUGAUAAAUCUUCCAUUUUCUUUGAGCUACAAGAGCCAACAACAUCCUGAUUGUAUCCAAACGAGCUACUGGUGCAAAGGUUUCCGAAAAGUCAACACCAAACAUUUGUGCAUACCCUUUGACAACCAGCCUUGCUUUAUGUUUGUUUAUAGAACCAUCAGAGUUGAGUUUGGUUCUGUAAACCCACUUAACCCCAAUAGGUUUUUUGUGUGAAGGUCUAUCUACUAGCUCCCAAGUGUUGUUCUUGUCAAUCAUAUCUAGCUCCUCCUGCAUUGCAACCCUCCAUCUUUUAUUUUCAGCAGCUUCAACAAACCCUGCAAGUUCAAGAACAGCUAUAUUACACCUUUGAUAAAUAUCAAAAAGUGUCAUGAAACCUCUAACUGGAAGUUCAUCAACAUCUUCAUCAAUAUAUUGCUGAUUCUGCUCAUCCCAACUCCAUUUCUCCGUUUCCAAAAACUUAACAUCUCUACUUACCACAAUUUUACUAUUUUGUGGCAAGUAGAUUCUGUAAGCUUUUGAGGUGCUGUUGUAUCCAAUGAAAAUUCCUGGUUCUGACUUUUUAUCUAGCUUGUCUCUUUUCACCUGAGGAACAUAAGAGAAACACAAGCAACCAAAGGUCUUUAAAUUCAUUAGCAUAGGCUUAUAAGCAAACCAGGCCUCAAAAGGUGUCUGUUUCUGCAAUGCUUUUGUUGGUAGUCUAUUUAGCAAAAAUACUACUGUAUUUGCAGCUUCAACCCAAAAACUUUUUGGCAGCUCUUUCUCAUGCAAAAGACAUCUUGUCAUUGAUUACUACUCAAAAAGUGCUAUUUGAUAGCCUUUAAUUAAUCCUUUUUAACACUUUUGAGUAGUAGUUUAGGCCUUUUAACUCAAUUGGCAUGUUAAGGAUCCUUUAAAGCAAUUUUGAUCACUUUGUGCAAGUUUUGGUGUUUUUGUUAGUAUUUCGAUCACCAAAGCAAGUCAAGAAUGAGGAGAGCUAUGAGGAAUCUUGGGCAAAGCUUAGAAUUCAAUUGCCAAGAGUGAAUCCGGAUUGCAAGGAGAAAAAGCAAAGAGGAUCAGUCAUGGAGCAUAUUCUUGAUGACAGUCGUAGCAGCCACUUUUGGAUCACUUUCUGAAGUCCAAAUGAUGCAAGCUAUAUACCAUUUCAAAGCUCAGGAAGUCAACAAUCCAAUGCUUCAAACGGUGUGCGAUUCGGAAUUGAAACGAAGAAGUUGCAGCCAUUACAAGCCAGACACUCUAAAGUGUUGCGGAAUCAGCCAUGUGUUGCGAGAAUUUCGCAGCACUUUUGUACAGUAAGGUGUUUCUCCUUCUAACGAUGCACGAACCAUGCCGCGAGAAGGGAGCUGGAAACUUCAAGAUGGAAGCCAACUUUGCAGCCUAGUGAAGAUAGCUCGGUCUUGCAAGAUAAUUUCGCAGCCCUCUUGGGUGUCUGCGAAAUUUCGCAGGCCUCAUUUUUCACCUGCGAAAUGGCUCUUGAAGCCUCCCGAAGCUUGCUACCGACAUUGGGAGAUAUUUUCCAUUAGAUUUUUGUUGUCUAAAUCCCAAAAUACUCCUUGUAAACCACCAAUUACAUGAUUCCUUAGUUUUUAAGUUAGUAAAAAGACCAAAUAUCUUUGUAACAAUUAGUUUUAUAUUUUGUUGUUAUAAAUACCUCUCGGGAGCCUGUUCUCAGGGAGGAGUUCCUUCUGUAAACGUUUGGUAAGCAAGUAAAGUCUAUUUUCUUUCUACUGCCUUACCUUCUCACUUUGUAUUUUCAUUUUAUUUCUAAGUUAUGAAUUCUCUGAGGAGUUUUCCCCAAAGAAUGAGUAACUAAACCUCCAAUUCCUUGGAGCUAAGGUUGCCGGGGAAGGUUCCAAGUGCAAGAAUGCAAAGCUCUGUGGUUUUAGCUAGUAAUGAAGAGGAAGUGAAAUCCUUUAGUGAUUUCAAUGUUUUUAGUUAACUUAAAACACUUUGGAGUCACCUGGGCCAACACUUGGUAAGGCAAGUGAUUUCCAACCAUGGAAAUGCACUAGUUUACCCCUUGCGAGCCUCUGGUAGGUGACUUCAAGGUAGGAUUUUCUGGAAUUACCAACACUUGGUAAGCUUUUGGACUCCUAGGAGACAUCCAUUAGUUAUCUCUUGCGAGUUUGUGAAGGGAAUCCAAGGUUAAAGAUCACCUUGAAUGGUAAGUGCUCGUGAGAGGCAUGAACCAUUGCAAGUUGUAUCAGUGAGAGAAUUAAAGUGAAAUCUAAUUGAAGGAGUCUUUGUACAUCACCGGUUAGAGAAUUGACUAUAAGUUGAAUCUCUAAUGCGAGGAAAUGAACCAACUGACCAGAGCCGUGUCUUUUGCAUGAGGAACCACCCCAGUGAACCUAAAUCUCCAAGGAAUGUUUUUUUCUUCCUAAAUUAUUCCAAACUUCUGUUAAGUUAGUUAGUUUAAAUCUCAACCUUUACAAAUCAAAGUUUGUGUUUUAUUCCUUAAGCUAACCGUGAAAUGAAACAAGACCAAUUCACUUGGAAUUGGUAUCAUUGAUUGCCUGCAAAUCAUUCCCAGUGAACGAUCCUAGAGCCACUAUACUAUAGUAGCUUUGUAUUUGCUACCCUAGUGUAUGGUGUUAUAGGUAUAAAUUUUGUUGAUCACUUCCUCAAUCAAGGAGCACCAGCUGAACACAAAUCAGCUGAGACACCAAUUAGGCAUGAGUCAAAUGGCGCCGUUGCCGGGGAAUGAAUGUCAAGUUCAUUGUGAUACCAUUGUUGAGCACUUGUGAUUUUCAUCACAAGUUGGUAAAGUUUCUUUCACUUUACUAAUUUUCAUUCUUUCUUUGUUUAUUUACAAUCUAAGUUUAUCUUUUUAAAUUUUAGUCUAGUUUAAUUUUGUUGUUGUAGCCCUGUUUUUCUUGUUGUCCUCUGUUUUCAUUUUUUUUUUCAGGUAGAUACUAGUUGUGUAUGCCCAAGUGGAUACGAGACAUAGGAGGUAGGCUUGUUAAGUGUGAUACACCUCAGAAAGGAGAAUUUGAAGUAAUCUUGAAUAUCAUGGAGGCUGCACCUGAAGAUCAGCAUAGUCACCAAGGUCGUCAAGACAAUCUCAAUGAAUUCAGAUCAAUGAGGGACCGUAUGCAUCCACCUCGUAUGAGUACACCAUCAUGUAUAGUGCCCCCUACAGAGCAGCUAGUGAUCAGACCAUAUCUUGUUCCACUUCUACCAACUUUCCAUGGGAUGGAAAGUGAGAAUCCGUAUGCACACAUCAAGGAAUUUGAAGAUGUUUGUAAUACAUUCCAAGAAGGAGGAGCUUCAAUUGACUUGAUGAGGCUUAAGUUAUUUCCUUUUACUUUAAAGGAUAAGGCCAAAAUUUGGCUUAAUUCUUUAAGGCCAAGGAGUAUCCGCUCUUGGACUGAUUUACAAGCUGAGUUCCUUAAGAAAUUUUUUCCUACUCAUAGAACAAAUGGCUUGAAAAGGCAAAUUUCAAACUUCUCAGCUAAAGAGAAUGAGAAAUUCUAUGAGUGUUGGGAAAGAUACAUGGAAGCUAUAAAUGCUUGUCCUCACCAUGGCUUUGAUACUUGGCUAUUGGUGAGCUAUUUUUAUGAUGGUAUGUCCUCCUCAAUGAAGCAACUCCUCGAGACAAUGUGUGGAGGAGAUUUCAUGAGCAAAAAUCCAGAGGAAGCUAUGGAUUUCUUGAGCUAUGUAGCUGAUGUUUCAAGGGGAUGGGAUGAACCAACUAAAGGAGAAGUGGGAAAGAUGAAGUCUCAGUUGAAUGCUUACAAUGCAAAGGCUGGGAUGUAUAAUUUGAAAGAAGAUGAUGACAUGAAAGCAAAGUUGGCAGCUAUGACAAGAAGAUUGGAGGAGCUGGAGCUGAAAAGAAUGCAUGAAGUGCAAGCUGUUGCUGAAGCACCAGUGCAAGUGAAGCUGUGUCCCAAUUGUCAAUCAUUUGAACAUUUGGUGGAGGAGUGCCCUGCAAUUUCAGUUGAAAGGGAAAUGUAUAGAGAUCAAGCAAAUGUUGUUGGACAAUUUAGGCCCAAUAACAAUGCUCCUUAUGGAAAUACCUACAAUUCAAGUUGGAGGAAUCAUCCAAAUUUCUCAUAGAAGGCCAGAGCAACUCAAUACCAACAGCCGGAUCCACCAUCUCAGCAAUCUUCAAGUAUUGAACAAAUAAUAGCCAAUCUCAGCAAGGUAGUGGGAGAUUUUGUGGGAAAGCAAGAAGCCACCAAUGCUCGAGUUGAUCAAAGAAUGGAUAGAAUGGAGAGUGUGUUGAACAAAAGAAUGGAUGGAAUGCAAAAUGAUAUGAACCAAAAGUUUGAUAACAUCCAAUAUUCAAUUUCAAGGCUUACAAAUUUGAAUACACUGCAAGAAAAAGGAAGAUUUCCUUCUCAACCUAACCAAAAUCCCAAAGGUGUCCAUGAAGUGGAAAGCCAUGAGGGAGAAUCAUCACAGGUGAAAGAUGUGAAAGCUUUGAUCACUCUAAGGAGUGGUAAGAAAAUUGAGCAGCCAACACCCAUGCCACAUGUUGAGAAAGAAGAAGGGAUAAAGAAAGGAAAGGAAAUAGAAGAUAAAGACAGUGAGAUCAGUGAAGAAAAGAAGGACUCUGAUUCAACAAUCAAAGCAAUUCCAGAGAAAGAGCUUCUGAAGGAAGAAAUGCUGAAGAAAUCAACUUUUCCACCUUUUCCUCAAGCAUUACAGGGGAAAAAGGGGGUUAGAAAUGCAGCUGAAAUCCUUGAAGUCUUAAGACAAGUAAAAGUUAAUAUUCCACUGCUGGAUAUGAUCAAACAAGUUCCAACGUAUGCAAAAUUCCUAAAGGACUUGUGUACUAUCAAAAGAGGGGUUGACUGUAAACAAGAAAGCCUUCUUGACUGAGCAAGUAAGUGCAAUCUUACAAUGCAAGUCUCCUUUGAAGUACAAAGACCCUGGAAGUCCUACCAUUUCAGUCAUGAUUGGAGGAAAGGUAGUGGAGAAAGCCUUGCUAGACUUGGGAGCAAGUGUGAAUUUGCUUCCAUACUCUGUCUACAAGCAACUGGGACUUGGAGAGUUGAAGCCAACAGCAAUCACUUUAUCUUUGGCAGAUAGAUCAGUGAAAAUUCCAAGAGGAGUAAUUGAGGAUGUAUUGGUUCAAGUGGAUAAUUUCUACUAUCCAGUAGAUUUUGUUGUUCUUGAUACUGAUCCAACUGUAAAGGAAGCUAAUUUAGUUCCUAUCAUCCUUGGAAGGCCAUUUCUUGCAACUUCAAAUGCAAUCAUCAACUGUAGAAAUGGGCUUAUGCAACUCACUUUUGGUAACAUGACACUGGAUCUCAAUAUUUUCUAUAUGUCUAAAAAGCAAAUCACUCCUGAGGAAGAAGAAGGUCCAGAAGAGCUAUGUAUUAUUGAUACUUUGGUGGAGGAGCACUGCAAUCAGCAUAUGCAAGAUAAGUUGAAUGAAAGUCUUGUGGAUAUUGAGGAAGGUUUUUCUGAAUCUCCUAUUGGGCUUGCUACUCUACAAAGUUGGAGAAAGAUAGAAGGAAUUCUACCUUUGUUCAAUGAAAAAGAGGAGGCAACUGUUGAAGAAGAAAUUCCAAAACUCAAUUUGAAGCCUUUACCUGUGGAGCUGAAAUAUACAUAUCUUGAAGCAAAUAAUCAAUGUCCUGUUGUGAUAUCCUCAUCUCUGACCAGUCAUCAAGAGAAUUGUUUAAUGGAAGUUCUCAUGAGGUGUAAGAAGGCAAUAGGAUGGCAAAUAUCUGACUUGAAAGGCAUUAGUCCUUUAGUUUGUACUCAUCAUAUAUAUAUGGAGGAGGAAGCAAAGCCAAUUCGUCAAUUUCAAAGAAGGUUGAAUCCUCAUCUACAAGAGGUGGUGCGAGCUGAGGUGCUGAAGCUACUUCAAGCAGGAAUCAUUUACCCUAUUUCUGAUAGCCCUUGGGUGAGUCCUACUCAAGUGGUACCAAAGAAGUCAGGGAUCACAGUGAUUCAAAAUGAAAAAGGGGAAGAAAUUACUACACGCCUCACUUCAGGUUGGAGGGUGUGUAUUGAUUAUAGAAAGCUGAAUGCUGUCACCAGGAAGGAUCAUUUUCCAUUGCCAUUUAUUGAUCAAGUGCUGGAGAGAGUCUCUGGACAUCCAUUUUAUUGUUUCUUGGAUGGGUAUUCAGGCUAUUUUCAAAUUGAAAUUGAUUUGGCAGAUCAGGAAAAGACCACUUUUACAUGUCCAUUUGGAACAUUUGCUUAUAGAAGAAUGCCUUUUGGUUUAUGCAAUGCACCUGCUACAUUUCAAAGAUGUAUGUUGAGUAUUUUCAGUGAUAUGGUGGAGAGAAUUAUGGAGGUUUUCAUGGAUGACAUCACCGUAUAUGGAGGUACAUUUGAGGAGUGCUUGGUUAAUUUGGAAGCAGUUCUUCAUAGAUGCAUUGAAAAAGAUUUGGUGCUGAACUGGGAGAAAUGCCAUUUUAUGGUACGUCAAGGAAUUGUCCUUGGCCAUAUCAUCUCUGAAAGAGGCAUUGAAGUUGAUAAAGCAAAGGUGGAGCUUAUUGCCAAAUUACCAUCUCCAACAACUGUGAAAGGAGUAAGACAGUUCCUUGGCCAUGCAGGGUUCUAUAGGAGGUUUAUAAAAGGUUUUUCAAGUCUUUCAAAACCUCUUUGUGAGCUGUUAGCUAAGGAUGCUAAGUUUAUAUGGGAUGAAAGGUGUCAGCAUAGCUUUGAUCAACUGAAGAAGUUUUUAACAACAACUCCAAUAGUGAGAGCCCCUAACUGGCAAUUACCUUUUGAACUGAUGUGUGAUGCCAGUGACUUUGCUAUAGGAGCUGUGCUUGGCCAAAGAGAAGAUGGGAAGCCCUAUGUGAUUUACUAUGCAAGUAAAACACUAAAUGAAGCUCAGAGGAACUACACAACUACAGAGAAAGAAUUGUUAGCUGUGGUAUUUGCUUUGGACAAAUUUCGAGCUUAUUUAGUGGGGUCUUUCAUCAUUGUCUUCACUGACCAUUCAGCCUUGAAGUAUUUAUUGACAAAGCAAGAUGCAAAAGCAAGGUUGAUUAGAUGGAUUCUAUUGUUACAAGAGUUCGAUCUUCAAAUCAAAGAUAAGAAAGGAGUGGAGAAUGUAGUAGCUGACCACUUGUCAAGGUUAGUUAUAGCACAUAAUUCCCAUCCCUUGCCUAUCAAUGAUGAUUUUCCUGAAGAAUCACUCAUGUUCCUAGUGAAAACUCCUUGGUAUGCUCAUAUUGCUAAUUAUUUAGUAACUGGGGAAAUUCCAAGUGAGUGGAAUGCACAGGACAGGAAGCACUUCUUUGCCAAAAUUCAUGCUUAUUAUUGGGAAGAGCCCUUUCUCUUUAAGUAUUGUGCAGAUCAGAUUAUUAGGAAGUGUGUCCCUGAAGAUGAGCAGCAAGGGAUUCUAUCUCAGUGUCAUGAGAAUGCAUGUGGAGGCCACUUUGCCUCUCAGAAAACAGCCAUGAAGGUAUUACAAUCAGGGUUUACUUGGCCAUCUCUUUUCAAAGAUGCCCACAUCAUGUGUAGAAAUUGUGAUAGAUGCCAAAGGCUUGGAAAGCUAACAAAAAGAAAUCAAAUGCCUAUGAACCCCAUUCUGAUAGUUGAGAUAUUUGAUGUUUAGGGCAUUGACUUCAUGGGACCUUUCCCAAUGUCUUUUGGUAAUUCUUACAUUUUGGUGGGGGUAAAUUAUGUUUCUAAAUGGGUUGAGGCAAUCCCCUGUAAGCAAAAUGAUCACAGGGUGGUUCUCAAGUUUCUUAAAGAGAACAUUUUCUCAAGAUUUGGGGUGCCCAAGGCCAUAAUCAGUGAUGGAGGAGCUCAUUUUUGCAACAAACCUUUUGAAGCUCUGUUAUCCAAGUAUGGAGUGAAGCAUAAGGUAGCCACACCUUAUCAUCCUCAGACAUCCGGGCAAGUUGAGCUAGCUAACAGGGAAAUAAAGAACAUUUUGAUGAAAGUGGUGAAUUCCAACAGAAAAGAUUGGUCUAUUAGGCUUCAUGAUUCAUUGUGGGCAUAUAGAACAGCUUAUAAAACUAUUCUUGGGAUGUCUCCCUAUCGUCUUGUCUAUGGCAAAGCAUGCCAUCUCCCUGUGGAAGUUGAAUACAAAGCUUGGUGGGCAAUAAAGAAGCUGAAUAUGGACUUGAUCAAGGCCGGAGAAAAGAGAUUUCUAGACCUUAAUGAGAUGGAGGAAUUAAGAAAUAAUGCUUAUAUCAAUUCCAAAGUUGCAAAACAGAGGAUGAAGAAGUGGCAUGAUCAACUCAUCUCCAACAAGGAAUUUCAGGAAGGGCAAAAAGUUUUGAUGUAUGACACAAGACUCCAUAUCUUUCCUGGGAAGCUCAAAUCAAGGUGGAUUGGUCCAUUUGUUAUUCACCGAGUAUAUUCCAAUGGAGUGGUGGACUUAUUGAAUUCCAAUGGCAAGGAUAGCUUUAAAGUCAAUGGAUAUCGUCUCAAGCCGUUCAUGGAGUCAUUCAAAUCAGAAAAGGAGGCAAUCAACCUCCUUGAACCUCAAAAAGCCUAAGUGAAAAGGGUUUGCUGGACGUGGCUUUACCACAGUCCAAAAUUUUUGUAAAUUUUGUAAAUUUUCAAGUUGUUUCUAUACUUUUGAUUUUAGUUUUUGAUCUUAAAUCAUGUUUUUAGGUGUGUUUUAAUCGUUUUAAAUGAUCCCAGGUGGAAGAAAUUUCAAGGGGAUUGAAAGAAAAAAAAUCGGGUCGAAAUUGGAGCCGAAACAGAGCAAAAACAGGGGAAAAACAGAGCUCUGCGAAAUUUCGCAGGGUGAAGGAAACCUCUGCGAAAUGAGCAUUUUGUUGCGAAACCAUUCCGCAGCACUGUAGAAGCCUCUGCGAGUGUAUUUCGCAGCUGCGAAAGUGAAUUUGGCACACGAGUGCCACUUCGCAGUACAGUAGCAUCCAUUUGGCAGCUGCGAAACUCAUUGCGAAAUGGAAAAGCGUGAUUUCGCACCAAAAGUCCCAUUCCGCAGGGUAUUUCGCAAUUGCGAAAGUGGUUUUGGCACACGAGUGCCACUCCGCAGCACAGUAACAUCAAUUUCGCAGCUGCGAAACUCACUGCGAAGUUGCUGCGAAAAUGGCAAGUUGCUGCGAAAUUGGCGUUUAGUUGCGAAACUUAAACUGACCCCUGAGCUUCCGUUUUUCCUAUUUAUACCGGUCAAAAGUGCUGCGAAAAGGGUUUCAAAAAUCAGAGCACCAUUCUCGCAGCCCCUUCAUCUUCUUCGCCAAGCCACGCCGUCCGAACCUCCGGUCGUCUUCUCCGUUUAGCAGCGCCGGCCAAAGAUCGAUAUUCCAAAAUGGCACGAACGCGAGGGGCAAAAUCUUCAUCCCCUUCGAAUCGCAAAAGGAGUCUGCGAAAGGAGCCAAGUCCAGGUUCUGCUCCAGAACCUGCUCCAAAGCCUUCGCCGUCGAGACCACAACCUUCUCCAGUGAAGCCGGCGCCACUAAAGCCGCCGGCAAGACGAUAUUUGACAAGGUCAGGCGGUUGGCCAUUGAAGAAGAAGCCCAGGGUUGAGAGCUCUGAACCAAUUGAUUUGACUGAGCAAUCCCCUGAGCAGUCCCCAAAUCCUUCACCAGUUCAAACUCCAGUGCCGUCACCGGUUCCCUCGCCAAUUCCCUCACCUGAAGCAACUCCAAUUCCAUCGUCGGUACCAUCUCCGGCACCCCAAGAAAAAGCUCAGGAGCCUCAAGCGCCAAUUCCAGAGCCCCAAAUUGCAGCUGAAGCACCUCUGGAAGAAGUGAUCCGAAGGCCAAUGCUGCCCCAGCCCCCAAUCGAAGGAAACUUGGAUUGUCGAACACGGGCAUUCCAUUCUGAGCUUUGCUUCGAUUUAACAGCAUUCAGAGUGAGGCCAGAGCUUGCCCAAUCCUUCCAGCUGCUGAGGAGAUAUCAUAUGGAGCAUCUGCUAGCUCCAAGGGAUUUUUUCUAUCCCCGGGUAGUCACGGACUUCUACCAGACCAUGACAACCAAAGAAGUAAGAAAUCCAACUCUGAUCCAUUUCAUAAUUGAUGGAAGGCAUGGUAUUUUGGGAGCAAGACACAUUGCUGAAGCUCUGCAAAUUCCUUUUGAGCCAACCCAAUUCGACAAUUUUAAAGCUUGGGUAAAUCCUACUGAGUUAGAGAUGGUUCGCACACUAACCAGAGGAGCUGCAAAUCGAUCACACCUGUUGAGGGGGGAGCUACCUCCAGUGAUGUUUUUGAUUGAUGCCUUUUUGAGGCAUAAUAUCUAUCCCCUGCAGCAUUGGACCCAAAGAAGGGGAAUUCUCCUGGAAGCUUUGUACAAGAUGUCAGAAGGAUUCUUCUUUGGGCCCCAUCAUCUUAUCAUGGCAGCCCUUCUAUACUUUGAGGAAAAGGUUCACAAGAAGAAACUUCAAAGAGCAGAUUGCAUUCCACUCCUCUUCCCAAGGCUGCUAUGCCAAGUUUUGGAGCAUCUCGGAUACCCCUCUGAGCCUCAGCAGGAAAGAAAGAGAAUAUGCCGUGAGCCAUUUACUCUUGAUAAAUGGAAUAAUAUGACGGCCUACAAAAUUGAUCAGCCUGGGCAGCCUCAGCCAGCAGCAAGGAGAGCCUCCCCAAGACAUGCACCUGAAGGUAUAACACUUGCUACUCCUGCCAUCCCUCGAGCUUCACCAGCUGCACCUGCUGCAUCACAGCCAUCCACAUCAGCUGAGCCGAGGAUGGCCAUCCCUAUAUCCGAAUAUCGAGAGCUGUGCCGAGCAUUGGAGACUCUUACAGCUUCCCAGAGCAAUCUUGCUCAAGAGUUGGCAGCCAUCAAAGCAUGCCAGGAGCAGAUGUUAGCCUCUCAGGCUCAACAAGCUGCCAUCCUAAGGCAGCUUCAAGUCCAUUUCGAUCUGCCACAAGCUGUAGAGCCCUCCACUGAGACUCCACCAGAGCCACACUCUCAGCCUUCAGAGUCUCUUCCUCCAGAGCCAGAAGCCCCAACUGAUCCACCUACAGAGGAGGCGGAUCCUUCUGCUUAGCACCAUCACCCCACUCAUCAGACAUUAUAUAUAUUUGCUGUUUAUGUUUUUAUGCAUGUUUGUUUUGUUUUAGUUGAAAUGAAAUCCCAGUAUUUUGGUACUAUAUAUGGGAUUCCUUGUGAUUACUUGUCCUUAGCAUUGUACUCGAAUGAAUUGAAAGUAAUACAAGUUGAAUUUUUCUUGUUAAAAGUUAGCAUUAAAAUUCUCCUUAUUUCCUUUUCUCACAUAUUCUAUUCUUUUUGAAACAUGUGGUUUUCCCCAAUCAAUAUUCGAAUUUGAUAUCAGCAUGGAGGUACCACUUCCUCCCUUUUAUUACAGUCACUCAAAUCACAUUGAGGACAAUGCUCAGUUCGGUUGGGGGGUAUGAGGAAGGAAGUAUUCUAAAUCUUUUUGGUAUUGCAAUUAUAUUGGUUAAUUAGUUGUAGAUUUUACGUUUUACUCUUGUUACUCUAUUCUCCAUGAAUUUUGAGGAAAAAUUUUCAAAUUAAACCAAGAGAAAUUGAACUGUUGUUUUUCACUUGACUUAGAGUAUGGAUUAUGCUUACUAAAGUGGUUCAAUUGUUGAAACUUCUACUGAAAUUGAAUUGAGUUCUUCCAUUUUAAGCUAUCCACACACUGUGCACAUUAGUUUCUGAUUAUAAGAUGAAAAGCUAUUUCCCUCUUGACUUAGGAUAAUUUUGGGACUUGGUAUAUUUGACCUCAUUUGAUAAAAAUUGAAACACCCUGCAAAAGGCCAAUGAGCCUUUGAAAUAAAGAAAGAUGUUUGCUUGCCUUGAAACCCGAGCAAGGUCUGAGGGGCAUAUGGUGAAAGCCUUUAAAGCCUGGUGCCCUAAGCCUUAAUUGGUUGGGAGUCACCGACCUCAAUGCUCGUUACAAGGGUGAAUAGGUAGAGCUAGCAUAUGGUAGAUGCUUGGGUAUUAGAAAUUCAUUCUUAAAAGUCCAGGGAAAAAUCCGAGGAGUUAGUGGUUGAAAGAUCCUUAAAACUUGGUGCCCUAAACCUUAAUUGGUUGGGAGUCAUCGAUGGACCCCCAUUACAUGGACAAGUCAGAAAGAGUACCCCAUAAAGCUACUUUAAAAAAAAAAAAAAAAAAAAAAAAAAGAUGAUGAAAGUGUGUUCUUUUCUUAUUGAUUUUGGUCAGAUUGCUAAAGUGUUGAAAAGAGAUAGGUUGGGGGGGGAGACUAGUUUAGCAUAUUAUUCUCGGAAUCUAAGGAACCAAUACACAUAGAUUUUUGUGGAAGAUUGAAGUUUAGUUCUUAGAAAGUGAAAUGAUUUUAAAACUUCAGUUUGCAUAAUGCACUCCCUUGAUUGACAGUGUUUAGCAUAGGUGUUAUGACUCUUGUUGAGAUUUGGGUUUGUAUUUCUUUAAUGAUUCAUGUGAGAAGUAAAUCAUCAUGCCACUUAAGAAUUAUUUUCCUUUCAGCAUGAUGUUGUAAAUUUUAGAUUAGUUUGCUAUUUAUUUUUAUUUUUCUCUCCUUUAUUGCUAAGGGACUAGCAAUAUGUCGGUUGGGGGGAGUGAUUACUACUCAAAAAGUGCUAUUUGAUAGCCUUUAAUUAAUCCUUUUUAACACUUUUGAGUAGUAGUUUAGGCCUUUUAACUCAAUUGGCAUGUUAAGGAUCCUUUAAAGCAAUUUUGAUCACUUUGUGCAAGUUUUGGUGUUUUUGUUAGUAUUUCGAUCACCAAAGCAAGUCAAGAAUGAGGAGAGCUAUGAGGAAUCUUGGGCAAAGCUUAGAAUUCAAUUGCCAAGAGUGAAUCCGGAUUGCAAGGAGAAAAAGCAAAGAGGAUCAGUCAUGGAGCAUAUUCUUGAUGACAGUCGUAGCAGCCACUUUUGGAGCACUUUCUGAAGUCCAAAUGAUGCAAGCUAUAUACCAUUUCAAAGCUCAGGAAGUCAACAAUCCAAUGCUUCAAACGGUGUGCGAUUCGGAAUUGAAACGAAGAAGUUGCAGCCAUUACAAGCCAGACACUCUAAAGUGUUGCGGAAUCAGCCAUGUGUUGCGAGAAUUUCGCAGCACUUUUGUACAGUAAGGUGUUUCUCCUUCUAACGAUGCACGAACCAUGCCGCGAGAAGGGAGCUGGAAACUUCAAGAUGGAAGCCAACUUGGCAGCCUAGUGAAGAUAGCUCGGUCUUGCAAGAUAAUUUCGCAGCCCUCUUGGGUGUCUGCGAAAUUUCGCAGGCCUCAUUUUUCACCUGCGAAAUGGCUCCUGAAGCCUCCCGAAGCUUGCUACCGACAUUGGGAGAUAUUUUCCAUUAGAUUUUUGUUGUCUAAAUCCCAAAAUACUCCUUGUAAACCACCAAUUACAUGAUUCCUUAGUUUUUAAGUUAGUAAAAAGACCAAAUAUCUUUGUAACAAUUAGUUUUAUAUUUUGUUGUUAUAAAUACCUCUCGGGAGCCUGUUCUCAGGGAGGAGUUCCUUCUGUAAACGUUUGGUAAGCAAGUAAAGUCUAUUUUCUUUCUACUGCCUUACCUUCUCACUUUGUAUUUUCAUUUUAUUUCUAAGUUAUGAAUUCUCUGAGGAGUUUUCCCCAAAGAAUGAGUAACUAAACCUCCAAUUCCUUGGAGCUAAGGUUGCCGGGGAAGGUUCCAAGUGCAAGAAUGCAAAGCUCUGUGGUUUUAGCUAGUAAUGAAGAGGAAGUGAAAUCCUUUAGUGAUUUCAAUGUUUUUAGUUAACUUAAAACACUUUGGAGUCACCUGGGCCAACACUUGGUAAGGCAAGUGAUUUCCAACCAUGGAAAUGCACUAGUUUACCCCUUGCGAGCCUCUGGUAGGUGACUUCAAGGUAGGAUUUUCUGGAAUUACCAACACUUGGUAAGCUUUUGGACUCCUAGGAGACAUCCAUUAGUUAUCUCUUGCGAGUUUGUGAAGGGAAUCCAAGGUUAAAGAUCACCUUGAAUGGUAAGUGCUCGUGAGAGGCAUGAACCAUUGCAAGUUGUAUCAGUGAGAGAAUUAAAGUGAAAUCUAAUUGAAGGAGUCUUUGUACAUCACCGGUUAGAGAAUUGACUAUAAGUUGAAUCUCUAAUGCGAGGAAAUGAACCAACUGACCAGAGCCGUGUCUUUUGCAUGAGGAACCACCCCAGUGAACCUAAAUCUCCAAGGAAUGUUUUUUUCUUCCUAAAUUAUUCCAAACUUCUGUUAAGUUAGUUAGUUUAAAUCUCAACCUUUACAAAUCAAAGUUUGUGUUUUAUUCCUUAAGCUAACCGUGAAAUGAAACAAGACCAAUUCACUUGGAAUUGGUAUCAUUGAUUGCCUGCAAAUCAUUCCCAAUGAACGAUCCUAGAGCCACUAUACUAUAGUAGCUUUGUAUUUACUACCCUAGUGUAUGGUGUUAUAGGUAUAAAUUUUGUUGAUCACUUCCUCAAUCAAGGAGCACCAGCUGAACACAAAUCAGCUGAGACACCAAUUAGGCAUGAGUCAGUCAUCUCCAUUAUUGUUUUAUUUUUUCUUUCCACCACCCCAUUUUGUUGUGGGGUGUAUGGUGCAAUGAGCUGGUGAUCUAUGCCUGCAUCUUCACAAAAUUUGUUGAAUUUUUCUGAAGUAUAUUCUGUACCAUUAUUCGACCUUAUAACCUUGAUUCUGUAUUCACUUUGAUUUUCAACCAUGGCCUUAUAUCUCAAAAACACAUCAGCAACCUCAGCUUUGUAAGUGAGAAAAUAAAUCCAACAAAAUCUUGUGAAGUCAUCAAUAAAUGCAAUAUAGUACUUACUCCCUUUCAAAGAUGGUGUCUUUUGAGGUCCACUCACAUCUGUGUGAACCAAUUGUAGUUUCUGUGUUGAUUUCCAUGCUGCUUUUUGAGGAAAAGGAAGUCUUGUUUGCUUCCCAUAUUGAUAGGCUGCACAUAUAGGAAGUUCUUCUUCCAAAUCAGGGAGUCCUUCUACAAUCUAAUUCUUCUUCAUGUAGAGCACGGUAUUGUGGUGGAAAUGCCCUAAUCUUUUAUGCCAAAGCAUUGUAUUGUUCUCGUGUUGUGCAGCAGUAAUUUGCUCAUCUUCUAACAUAUUUAAGGCAAAACUUUUGCCUUUCAUUUUUAUGUUGAACACCUCUUUGCCUUCAGCAUCCUUGAUUAUGCAAUUUUUGUCUUCAAAACAAACUUUAAACCCUUUCUCAACAAGCUGUCCAACACUUAGCAAAUUUUGGUCAAUGUCAGGCACAAACAAAACAUCAGAAAUGAGCUUUAAACCUGUUAGGCUUUCAAUAGCUAAUGUUCUUUUACCUUUUACUGGAAUAUACUCACCAUUUCCUAUUCUAACUUUGGAAAUAGUUGUCCUAUCAAUCUCCCUAAAGCGAUCUUGAUCAUGUCAUGUGGUUUGUGCAACCACUGUCCACGAGCCAGCUUUCAGAGGUGCUACCGUUUGCAAAACAUGUUGCUGAAAAUAGUUGUUCCUCCUGGUAUUGUUCAGCUGCUACAUUGGUUUCUCCCUGCUGCUGCUGAGUUCUACAGAUCCUUUCUAUGUGUCCAUGUCUACCACAUUUGUUGCAUUUCACAUCUGGUCUCCACCAACAUUUUUGUUGAGGAUGAUUUGUUUUCUUGCAAUGAGGACAGGGUGGAUAGGUUCCAGUUUUUUUAUUGUUGUUGUUGCUUGGCUUAUUGUUGUUCUUUUUGUUCUUCCUCCUUCUUGUGUUACCUUCAUUGGUCUGUGUCUUUGCUUGAAAAGCUCCUUCUACAGAACUUCCUUGCCUCAUGAGUCUUCUUUGUUCCAAAGCUUGUAAAGCAUUUAGUAGUUCUGCCAAGGUGAUACUUGACAAAUCUUUUGUGUUUUCCAAAGAAGAAAUUGUAGCUUCAUAUUUUUCAGGAAUUGUGACAAAAUUGUUUUGAACAACUCUUUCAUCAGAAAACUCUUUACCUAGCAACCUCACCUUGUUUGCUAUGGUAAGAAGUUGUUCUGCAUAAUCUUUUAUGGUUUGAGACUCUUUCAUCCUCACCAUUUCAAAUUCUCGAAUUAGAUUCAUUACCUGCACAUUUCUGACUCUUUCAUUGCCUUGAUAUUCUUCCCGUAGAUGCUUCCAGAUUUCUGCAACAGAUUCAAGUUGCAUGAUUCUGGUGAGAAUUAAUGGUGAGACUACAGAAAAUAAGCAAGCCUUGGCCUUAGCCUUCCUCGUCUUUUUCUCCUUAUGGUUUUUCAUCUGUGACACAGUUGGAUUGGCUCCAAGUGGAGAAAUUUCAUAAUCUUCCUCUAUUGCUUCCCAGACAUCAAGAGCCUGUAGAUGAACAGUCAUCCUGACAGCCUAAGUUUGGUAAUUUUCUCCAUUGAAGACUAGUGGUGCUGCUGUGAAGCUUGCUUCUUCCAUUUCUGCAAGGUUUUCAGAUUCAGGUUUGGUAUACGGUGUUUAGGCUCACACACCUCACUGGUCCCUCAAGACAAAAAUUGCUCUGAUACCAAACUGUUGGAAGCAGGCGAGGUUAACACACCAAGCAACAGAGAACAGAGAUAUGCUGCUACUGAUCUAUAUUUUUUAUUUGAUCAUAAGGCUGAAUUUAUACAGAUUGUGUAACAUAUAUGACCUCAAAAAAAGCAUCAAAUCAAGCUACUUGUUGAACAAAAAACUACCUCCUACAAAAUAGCAUCAGAAUUUAACUUAAAAGCAAAAACAUAAUAAUAGCAACAGCAAAAACAGAAACAUAAAAAUAGCUUCAACAUUCUAGUAAUCUCAUUGACUUCAAUUGCAUGUGGUUGACGAUUUCAGCCUUUUCCUCAGCAGCUACUAAGGCAUAACUCUCAACAGGGCCUCUUAAUUUCCAUUCUGGCAUCUAUAUGACCUGAUAAAUAGAAAGAAAAAAAAACAGAAGAAAAGCGGCACCUGGGUUCAUAGUAAGCAUCAAGACAGGAUGCUGAAAGAAGGGAGAGAGGAGAUUGCAAGUCCAAUCCUGAUAAAAUAUCAACAAAGAGUAUUAAAUGGGGCCAACAUAAAGACCCAUUAAGGUCAGCAGAUGGCAUGGCAUUUUUCUCCUUAAGUUUUCCAUGAUUAGGCUUGAAGUCAAAAUUUCACAUGUAAAUUUGUAUUUCUACAUUUCCCACUGACGACACCCAACUUCAACUUGAGUUAGAAUAACAUUGUGUGAACUUAUCUGGCCCUCAAAAUUUACUGUGAAGUGCUUUCUGCGUGUGAAGAUUCAGAAAAGCACCAAGGGAACAUGUAUGGUCUGCCUUUUUCUGAUGUUAUGUUUGUCUCUAAUUCUGUUCCAUGUCAUGGUAAAUGUUCACAUUGCUUGUAUGGAACACACCAGGAUCACUUUUUCAGGUUUAGGGGGAUACAAAAGGCUUCAUAUUGGGUUCAAUGCUUUUAAUGUGUUCAUUGGACAAAUCUGAAUUAUCAUACGCAUUUAGAUAAGAACAAUAAUGUGAAACCCUAGUUACACCUCCCCUGCAUAACCCCAACCCUGCUUGCUCUAUUUCAGUUUACUCACAAGUUUUACUGGUUCUUAUAAGUCAAGAAAAGGCAACUGAUGUUGGAUCGACUCUCUUCCAUGUAAAAAAUGCAACUUUUAUACAUAUAAAAGAACUUCUUCCCCUCACCAAUGUGGGAUUUCAUAGAUUUAUUCUGGAAACACAUCAAAGGAACAUCUUUUCUCUUGGGUGACCCUAAGUGGUGAGUCAGAUCAUUUGCAUGCCAUUGAGUUGCACAGUUGGAUAAAUGCACCUGCCUCCUGGGCUCCAGAGUUAAAAGGGUGGAUCCCUGGAUUGCAACCCUCUUGGCAUCUUGGUUUCUAUUCCAACAUCCACAUGACUUGACAAAACAAAAAACAGAAUAAAAUCAGCACUAUAUUCAUGCUAAGCACCAAUACAUGAUGGAAAUCAUUGCUUAAAGAUUUGGGGUCGUUUUAGGUUUUGACUGCCUCCUACCACCUCACCUAAUGACAAGUUUUUAUGCUUACAAAUCAAAUAUCGUUCUUCAUUAUAUUAAAAUCAUUUUAAGAUUUCAGAUCCAUCUGCUAAUUAUGAUUAUGAUAACAUUUAUUCACCUGUGCUUCUCAUUUUCGACACACAAGGCAUCUAGGUUUGCAGGAUUUCCUUAUUAGAUGAGAUAAAUGAGUACGUAUGGUUAUGUAUCCAGCAUUCAUUAACCAUGGUAUGUGACAUUUAGAAUUAAGAUAGCAAGCAAACUUUCCCUGCAGCUAGAGUAAAUUGUGAUUUCUUAGCCUCUAUGAGUGGUUCCCAAAUCAAAUUAACAUAGUGAAAUAUACGUAGUCCAGUGAAAGGAAAUGUAAAUUAUAAACUAACAGCACUACACUACUGGUAACAAUCGAUACUCUCUAUAUAAUGCAAUAAACAAUGUCACAAUUGCCUACAAGCAAGGCACAAACACUAGAACAAGUAAAGCACAAACCUUUCCCAACAGUUCCCAGUGACUGAUGCAUAUCAUACCCUCAACUCACAGAAGGGGAUGAUAUCAGUGCACUGCAGCACUUAUUUUACACAUACUACCACUACUACUACUACUACUACUACUCAUUAGCCAAAGUCACUCAGUUGGGAUGAGUGUGAGGUAGAGGUUUGUGGGGUGCUAUGUGGAAAGGAGUUUGGCUUCUUCUCAGGAGAUGGUAGCUUCUUUGCAGGAGUUGAAGGAGGCUUAAUCUUCUGUGGUGGAUUGAUUGUAUGAGUCUUUGGCACUCUCUUCUCUAGUACAGGUGAAUACCCAGGGGUGCAUCCAUAAUGCGGUGGCUUCUAUCCCUUAGGUGGUUUGCCAAAU